UUUUUUAAUAAGAACAAAGAGAUUUCAACAAUUCAUACAACUUUUAUUAACCACAAAUAUGGCCCAAAUGGGUAUGUACAAUUUUGAUAUUGAACAUGAGGCUAUAAUGGCUUCUGUAAGAAAUACAUUAGAACAUCAUCACCAAGCUCCAAAAAACCACCAUAUGUUGUAGACUUGUCUCUAUGCUAAACAUGGUGUCUUGGUUUCCAACUGGAUGUUAUCACACAUUUCAGAAGUGCAAACCUCUACUGCCUUAAUUGCCCUCGUAACAAUGAGCAUGACCUGCCCCACACAAAUUGCCGCAUCUGACAUCAAAUUUCAAGGGACUUCCAAAAGUUUCCUUUUUUGCUGUUGAACUUGAUAGCGUGUAGAACCCUAAACUAAGGUUGCAAUUGCUUUCUUUAUCUGAAGUUGAUUAACAACAUACAUAACCUGUCCCACACAAUGAAAUGCAAGAAUGAGCUAAUACCACUAAUCCAAUCCAAGUACCCAAGGAGUUUGAAAAACCAACAAACAAACUUUAUAAAGAUCAAACAAACGACAAAAUAUAGAUAAAUCUAACCUGCAGCAAGCAUUGGAUGAAUCUUCCUCUGGACUUGUUGGCAAAUUGAGUCAUUAUCCGUGGAAGAGGAAAAAGGAAGAGACAGUAGAGAAGAAUGUGAGAAAGUUUAUUUACGUUAGUUGAAUGUGGAAGCUGAGAAGAAUGUGAAACACUUCCCUUGAAAUCCAUACCUGUCAUAGAGUUGAUCCUUCGUACUCUUUACUUUCGUCCCUUGCUCAUGCUGAUGUACCUUACAGAAUAUGUUGAACUGAAUCCUGUCGUGCACCCUGUUGAAAUUUUACUAUGAACUUAGUACAUCUUGUUUUGAAAAUACCAAACUCAAUACCUUCCUUCAGCUCACUGCACUUCUCUAUAUUUAUUGAGACUGUUUUACUGAUUUGUUGACAUCAAAAGCUCUUCCAUUAAACGUAAAUUUGCUCCUAAUUGUCCAUAGAAACCGGAUUGUAGAAUAAGGUAGAAUACAUCACAUCUUAUGUUCAAGUUACCUGUUAAAAACAACAAACAUACAGCAAGUAAAACCUAAUCCUCCAAAAGCUUGACAUAAUAUAAAUCAAUUGGUUUUCUCAACAACUUAUCUGCAUGCAAGGUAAAUAGAGUGACACUAUUUAUUCACAAUAGCACACUCUAACUUGUAUAAACUUGCACAAUUUUUUUUGCUUAAAAAAACACAUUCUGUACUCUCUUUAUAUGGUGAGGUAAACAAAGCAAACUUACAAUUUAAACAAUAAAAAUUUCAAAUCAAUCACAUUUUUUCUUCAAGGGGGGUGGGGGGGGGGGGGAUCGAUGACAAUCAAAUCCCAUAAGCAACAACAUAAAUGAAUGAAACUAAGUUGAAUACUCCGCACUAACCCAAACUUAAUCAGAACAUCAUGAUUAGAAGCAUAAUCAAUUUCCACUACCACCAAUUGGCUAUCUGUCAAUUUUAAAGCACCUUGAAAAGGCAUGCUUAUAACAAUGAUAAAUUUGGAUAAAAGACAGAAAUUUGAAUAUCUAAGAUUUUGAAAAUGUUACCAAGAAGCGAAAACUAAAUCCUGGCAAUCCUUACUAAUAUUAAUAAGUACAAAUACCAAUUCUCAAGCUAAAAACGCCAAAUUCAUGCUUUAGAAAUUAGCAUUCAAUAGAUAAUCUAUAUUCCAUGAUCAACCUAAAUAAAGCGUAUUUUUAAAUCAAUAAUGGCCAACACAAAUUUGGAAAAUGUUCAAUGUUAAGAAUUGGAAAGGUGAGAUGACAUUAAGGUUAGUCUUAAAGAAAAAAAUUAGUCAUUACAAACCUGUUUCUUCUUUAAAUCUGCAUCAUCCAUGAAGGUUUGUUUGUUUUUUUUUUUUUUAUUAGAAGGAUCAUCCAUGGAAGUUAAAAAACCCUUACAGCUCCAAAUGUGACCUGCAACUUGUAAGCAAGUUUUGAAAAUAAAAAUCUCUCCAUAGGAAAAGAAUAAAAAGAAAAAAAAAUCAACUCCAAAAUAUAAUACCAAUCCCCUAAGAACAGAAACAGCAAACCGAGAUCUAGUUAGAUCUUCUUAGUUGUCACUUCUUCAUCCAGGUCCCCAUCCUCACCUGCAUCAAAGCUGAAUUGAUUUUGAUAAACUAAAAAAAACUAAAAAAACUAAAAUCAAAAGUUUCAAUGAACUAAGGCGAAUUUUAGGAAAAAUUAUUUCAAUCCAAUUUCUAAACAAUUCAACUUACCUGAGAGCUUCAAUUGAUUGAAAAUCUCUGUAACCAUUUGUAACCAAAAUGUCACACAACAACGAUUUAUUUUCAAUUGAUAGAGAACCUGCAAAAUUUAUCUUUUCUUAAACAAAACUUCUAGAAGUUAACAAACACAACACAAAAUGUACUAUAAAUUGAAGAGAUAGAUAGAAAGAAAACAUAGGAGAUGAAGGAUUGAGGAACAUAUAUUUGAUUCUAUUCUAGUCGGUUUCUUUGUGCGAUUGACUUUGCAUAAGCAUAAGGAAUACAAUUUUUGUGAUUGUGGAUGCUGAAUGCUGGAUACUUAAUGCUGGAUGCUGAACACUGAAUGCUGGAAAAGUUGUUUGGUUAUCAUUUUUAAGAAGUUCUGUUUUUGAUUUGUUUGUUUAUGCGUAAGUGUGAUUUUGACCAUGUUACCCUAUUAUUGGAAAAGUAUUUUGACAAUACACAGUACCUUAUCACAUAACCCAAAAACCUAAAGUUGAUUUGUACUCUGGUUGCGCAAGUUGACCAUUCAGUGUUGUGCUUCAGAUGAGAAUGUUUCACCCUUAGCCAAAAUAUUUGUGUAACUACACUAUAUUGUUACGUCAUACAAACAGAAAAAUUUUCUAACAACAAAACUAUACACGCCAAUUUUUCUUCUAAAACAUGAUAUUUAAAAAAAAAAUCUUAACCUUUUAAACGGCUCGUCUAAAAAUUCUAAAUUUUGGAUAUGGUACAACAGAAAUCGUCAUGAACAUAUGGAAAAUAUUUCAAAGUGAACAGACAAAGGAAAGAUCCCUUACUAAGCAAACGAAUCUGACUGUAAUUUUUCUUCUAAAACAUGACAAUCACAAAAAAAUCUGUAACUUUCAAACGACUCGUUUAAAAAUUCCAAAUUUUGGAUAUGAUACAAUAGAAAUCGUCAGGAACAUAUAGUAAAACUUUUAAAGUGAUCAGACAAAAGAAAGUCUCCUUAUUAAGCAAACGAAUCUGACUGUAACAUAAUUUUUCUUGUAAAACAUAACAACCACAAAAAAAUCUGUAACUUUCAAACCGAUCGUCUAAAAAUUCUAAAUUUUAGAUAUGAUAUAACAGAAAUCUUCAGGAACUUAUGGUAAGAAUUUCAAAGUGAUCAGACAAAGGAAAGGCCAUUAACGAAGCCAAUGAAUCUGACUGUGAUAUUACUUAAUGGUUAUGGAUGAUAAAAACAAUUUUUAUAAGGGUAGAAUUGUCUAAAUAAUACAACAAGCAUUAAGAAGUUAAAUUAAAGCUGGGCCAAAAUCGCUGAAAUAUCCCAAUUAGUUCUUAAUGCUUGUUCUAAAGAAACAACUUAAAAAACACUUAUUUCUAAAUUUUAACAUGGUCCACCACUUAAGAAGCACUUAAUGCUUAAUGAAACAAACACUACCUCAGUUUGAUGACUUUGAACAACUGUUGUCGCUGAAUCUGAGUAACAAAAUUAUGCUGUCGAAGGUGGAAAAACUGAAAUUAAAAGUCAAACCUAGUGAAAUAUUCCUGCAAGAGUAAUAAAAUUAAAUAUUAAAAUUCUAAACGUUCAUCCCCAAAUCAGUCAGGAACACAACUAAAUAAGAAGCCUUAACAAAAACCAAACGGGAAAACACAAACCUGAUCAAUCGAAGAACCCAUCUACAUGAUGAUCUUUAAUUGAUUAUUGAUUAAGUAGUAAUUCCAAAACCAGUUGGGGAGAAGAAUAGAACGAAAUAUCCAAAUUGAAAGAACUUUCACUAUUAUUAUUAUUAUUAUUCAUUUUGAAACAAAACCCAAUUAAAUGAAGCUAUAAAUCUUCACAUACCUAAAAACUUCCAUGCGCCAAACCAGAGAAACAAAUAACGUUCGGUCUCUGUAAAUUUAGAGAUGAGUCGGUUGGGGAGAGAGACACGUGUAAGAAUUUUAGGUCGUUUGAGUUUGACUGUUCUUCUGUUUUGCAGAAUGACUGUGUUAAAGCAGAAAACUACAUUGCAAGAAAAGGGACACGUGGAUAGGCUGAAGGAGAUUUCCUGGACGGGGAGAGCACCCACGUGUCGAACCGUGCUCACUCUGCUUCAGGCUUCUUAUAAGGUAAAGAUUAUUAAGCAUAAGCAUAGCACGAAGUAUAAAGGGGCAUUCAAGUCUUUUCGCCCAUGAAUCCAGUUUACAUGAUACACCGCCAGAUAAACAAAAAGAGUCCAAAGGCUUCAAGAUGUCUAACUGGGACAAAAAAGAGUAAUACUGUACGUAUAAAAGUCGAUUGAAUUCUCUCUUUGUGACCUUAAAUUUGGUGAGAUCGAGUGCAUGUCAGAGUUGGUGGUGUUCGUUCAAGUAAUUCAUCUGAUUUGUUGGUUUUGUUUUUGUUUUUUUUUUUUACUUCUGCAAUAAAAUUUAGGAUUAAAGAGGGUAUGGAAAAUUUACAAGUAAAGAAAAUAAUUACUGGAGAAACAGCACUAAGCGCCACAACAACAACAAGAGUAGUGAAUUAUCUUCCUUGGGAGACAAUAUUUGAAAUUUUGUUGAGACUUCCCGUACGAUCACUGAUUGAAUGCAAGUUAGUGUGUAAGACCUGGUAUGCCAUUAUCAAGGACCCUCGAUUCAUUGACUUGCACCUUAGCCAAUCUAUAGCUCGACAUUAUGUACUAUUAACCUGGAUUCUGCAGGAUACUAAACCUACACUUCAAAUCCAUUCUUUAGUUGAAGAAGAAGAAUACAAGUGGAGGGCUUCCCUUUUCGACAUGGGGCUGACAUAUAAUAAUGUUUUUCCUUCUUUUUUCAUUUCUGGUUCUUGCAAUGGUUUGCUCUGCUUAUCUGCAGGUGAUGAUUUUUUAGAUCCUCUGUUCAUAUGCAAUUUAUUUACUCGAGAAUAUGUGAAGCUGCCAGACACUACCCAACCACUCACUGUUAUCGAACCGUUUACACAAGAAGAAAUUAUUUUGUCCAAAACAGGCCCUCUUUUUGAUCUAUUACAUCAAGAAAUUGGCUUUGGCUAUGAUCCCAAUAGCAAGAGAUACAAAUUGGUGAGGGUAUUUCAGAUUGCUCUUAGGAUUGGUAAUUCUGACGAAAUCAUGGAUCCAUAUGGUGAGAUCAUGACAGUGGGUGACAACGUGUGGAGAGCAUUUGAAUUUCCGCAUCCAAUAGUAAUGAGUACUCAGCUUGAGACACUAGUGUUCGAGGGGUCAUUUUAUUGGUUCAUUCGACACGUAUAUGGUGAACCCUGUCUCUAUGAUAUCCUUGCAUUUGACUUUGCUGAUGAGAAAUUUAGUACCCUUAAAUUUCCACCUUACAUGGAGAUGGAGAUAGAAAUGGACGACAUCUAUCCUGUUUUAAUGAACCAUAGAGGUUUGCUGACAUUGCUUGCUCAGAAUGAUCGCCAGGAUAUUAUUAGUAUAUGGCAAAUGAUGGAUAAUGGUUGGACCUGUCAGCAUACAAUGAUUGAAAGUUUUUCUGAUCUAACUGUGGACAUAAAUGGCAAAAUACUUCUACCAGGAUACUCACUAAAACAUUCACAUCGUGCUCUCUUUCUCUACGACACUGAAAAGAAACAAGCCUUCAAACUUGUGAUAUCUGAACGUCCAAGGUAUAUUUAUCAAAUAAGUUCUUUUGUUCCAAGUUUGGUUUCCCCCAAAGAUAUUAUGAAUUCCAACUCUCACUUAGAUAAAAGGUAGGUUACUAGGUUGUCAGACCAGCAUUGGUUUAUUUCUCUUACAAUAACACUGCGGAUUUAUGUAAUGAUUAAAUCUCGUUGAAUAUUGUUUAACAAUUCCAGUGUGUUACUUGAUUCAUAGUGAUGAAUGUGUUAUGAAUUUUACUUUUUCUGCUUUAUGUUUUGCUUUGUGAUAAGAAUGAAACAUGGGGCUUCGAAUUACUGUAAUGACACUAGAUUGGUAGAUUUGUGUUAAUCUUGGUUAGACUAGGGUAACACUCAUUUAGGAGCAUUAAAGAAAGUUUUGUCUAUAUUAUGAUAUUAUGAUGAAAGGUUGUUGAGACUUGAAACGUCUGGUCAUGUGAAACCAUCAGCCGACAAAUUCAUCUAAAUUCAACUAUCGUAAACCUUGACAGAAGAUGUUGAAUUGUUGUGCGCAGCGAAAACUUAUGCACCAAUACCUAAGAUUGAAAUAGUGUAUGAAUUAAAUAAAAAAAAAAAUAGAGAAGAUGAAACUACUGCUACUACCAAACAAAACCUACACAAAACACAAGAUUUACGUGGUUCGGCUAAUAUUGCCUACGUCCACGGACAAACAAAUAAUCUUUUCUUAUAGAGAUGAUUAUACAAGCCCUCACGAAGAAACCAAAGUGUUUUUCUUCACAAAAGUUCUCUCAAACUCUCUAAUAGCUUCUCACAAUCUCUCUCGCAUCAAGAUUAUGUUUUCCAACCUUCUCAUUGGCUUUAUAACAUAGCUUUACAAUCAAACACGAAAUGGGCUUAAACAUGGGUUUUUUUGGCAAACCGUACCGAGGACGUACGUGCAUACGUACGUACGUUCACCUGUCCAAAGUUGUCUGUAAUACAUGACGUACGUACGCCCUAACAUGUAACAUGGUACGUACGUUCCUGAACGAAUAACUUUCGAACGUACGUACGUUCUACCAUAUGGGAGUUGUCUGUGAUGCAGGACGUACGUACGCUCUAACAUGGUACGUACGUUCCUGAACAAAUAAGAAAAAAACCAAUAAUUCUCCACCUCGACGAAGAUUCAAUAAAUCUAAGCCGACAUCAAGAACAAAACAAGUCUCAGUCUCCCACACAUGUCCCGAAGAACCAAACGGCUGCACCACCUCAUGGUUGCCUACGUACCCUUCUCCUAAGGGAUCAAGUCAUCGUAGUUCACUCUCAAUGGCAUCUAUAUGAUGCCCACCAUACCCCGAAGGGUCAAAUUCCCACAAGGGGCCAUAUCAAACCAAAUGCCCACCAAUGCCCUAGGGCUCACAAACAACUUUAACACAAUGGGGUCCAAGCUACUAAAUACCAUCUCCACCUCAACAAAGUUCUCCAUUGAAGAUGAUCCAGUGCCCCGAAAAACUAACCUCUCAAGAGUUUUUCCUAUGAAGUUCAACCAAAUGGGGUACAAAUUCAAAUCACUAUGCAUAGAUUUACCAAAUACAUCUUCCUUACUAACCGCCGAACAAACAUCACAUGAGAGAUUACCAACAAUAGGAAGUACGUACACAAAACCCUCAAACAAAGGUUUCACGGCCUCAUAAGGUUCUUGGGCGAUAACCUUGCUACUAACAAUGGUGGCUUCAAAUUUUUUCUUUGUCGUGUCAUCUAACAAACCAAUCAAAUGUGGAGCGACAUCAAUCUCCACCCGAACAAAUGACGCUUCAACAAAAUGCCUACCAACUAUGCAUGCAUUGCCACCCGCAAACAAAUCUGUCUUCACUUGCAUAGUACCAUCAACGACAUGCCUCAUAUUACUAUGUAAUUCCUUGGUAGAAUCGACAGACAAAUCAACAACUGAACUAUGCAAACCACAUGUAAUUGCACUUUCUUUCAAGUAGUACAACUUACCCUUUCUAAUGCCUUUCAUAACAACUUGUGCACCUACAACAACUUUUAGAACUCCACCAAUACAUGUAAUUUGCAUACCAUCGGACUCUAAAACACCUAUUGAGAUUUGAUUCGUAGUCAACCCCGGUACAUACCAAACAUCUUCUAACUUUCGAGUGCAUCCAUCUUCCAACUUCAAUCGAACUGUACCUAUCCCCAAAGUUUUGUAAGUAUGAUCAUUACCAAGCAAAACACAAGCAUCUAGCUCCUGAAAGCUAUCAAACAACUCCCUAUUGGGACACAUAUGAUAGGAACAACCCGAAUCCAAAAUCCACUAAUUAGUAGAAUAACCAACUGAGGAUGAAGCCAACAACGAAACACCAACACAUCAAUUCUCAUCUCUACGAUGUACACGAACAAUCUUCUUCUGCAACUUUGGACAAUUAAAUUUCCAAUGUCCCCAACAAUGACAAUAGGCAUAUUCAUUCUUUGCAAGAGUUCUUCGACUUCUCAAUCUACAUUGAGAACCAACCAAUCUACCAAUACUAUCAUCAACCACAUAGAACCGGUCCUUUAUAUUUUUCAAAGCGUACUUGUCUUCCAACUUGGACAACAUAACUAUUACAAUGGUUUCCAAUUUGACAAUGUACCACAAAUCUUCUACCAAACAAUACCGGACAAAUUCACAAGCCUUCUAAAUGAGUUAACCAUUCAUCAUCAUUUAUAUUUCUCGAUUUAUCAUCAAGAACAUCCACAUAGCCAUUAAUGGCUAACCAAUCUUGUACCUCCAUCUUCCACAUAGCAAAGUCGAGGUUACCAUCAAAUUUAUGAAUGUCAACAUCUAACAACAAAGUUUGAUCAAACAAACUAUCAACCUCCUUUCCAAAUUCACUCGAAUCCGAAAUAUGAUCCGACAUGAUACCAAUCAAUUUCAUACACCAGAUAAUCACCAAACGAAGGUAAACAAAUCUGAAAAUUCACACAGGAAUUUCUACAAACACCUUCUUGACAACCCACGGAUAAAAAUUAGAAUUUUUGGCUUGAAACACAAAUAAGAAACUCACUACGGAAUUUCUUCAAACACCUUCAAGACGCUCAAGAUCUAGCCUGCAGCUCUGAUACCACUUGUUGUGUGCAGCGGAAACUUAUGCACCAAUACCCAAGAUUGAAAUAGUGUAUGAAUUAAACAAAACAAAAUAGAGAAGAUGAAACUACUACUACUACCAGACAAAACCCACACAAAACACAAGAUUUACGUGGUUCGGCUAAUAUUGCCUACGUCCACGGACAAAUAAAUAAUCUUUUCUUAUAGAGAUGAUUAUACAAGCCCUCACGAUGAAACCAAAGUGUUCUUCCUCACAAAAGUUCUCUCAAACUCUCUAAUGGCUUCUCACAAUCUCUUUCGCAUCAAGAUUAGGUUUUCCAACCUUUUCAUUGGCUUUAUAACAUAGCCUUACAAUCAAACACGAAAUGGGCUUAAACAUGGGUUUUUUUGGCAAACCGUACUGAAGACGUACGUGCAUACGUACGUAUGUACGUACAUUCACCUGUCCAAAACUGUCUGUAAUGCAGGACGUACGUACGCCCUAACAUGGUACGUACGUUCCUGAACGAAUAACUUUCAAACGUACGUACAUACGUACGUAUGUACGUACGUACGUUUUAUCAUAUGGGAGUUGGGAGUUGUCUGUGAUGCAGGACAUACGUAUACCCUAACAUGGUACGUACAUUCCUGAACAAAUAAGAAAAAAACCAACAUGAAUGUCCUUAAUCACUAGUACCAAAUAGUAAGGAAUAUUACCACCUCCUUGAUUCAAUUCAAAUAUCCAUGCAAAAUUUUUGAAAGACUAAGCUUUAAUCAAAAUUUUACCUGAGAAAGUAAACCAUAGGGUCACUGGCCACUUGGCGUCGGUAUGUAAAUACGGAUGAAUGAGUGAUGAUGAAUCUUCAGAUAAUUAAUGAACACUUAAGUGAAAAUUUGAUACUAAUAAUUACUACAAGAGUUCCAUUAAGAUAAACUGAUACACUUUGGGUAGAUUUUAUAACUUCACAUAAUCCACAACGACCACACCCAAUGAUUGGAAAUCAGAAUUUUGCGGACCCCACUCUGAUUAGUCAUUACUCUGUCUUUUGGAAUAUUUGGAAGAUUCCAGAUUUUUGACACGCGUUAGUCUGCUGAUUUGCAAGAGAGUGUUUCUUGUCACUGCCAUUACCGAGCUUCACUUCUCCUAUAAAUUCUUGAAGAAAGAAGGAAGAAAAUUAUUUUUUCUUGAAGAAAGAAAGAAAGAAGAAGAAGAAGAUUAUUGUUUCUUCUCACUGCCAUUAUUGUUGAUUUGCAAGAAGAAGAAGAAGAAGAUUAUUGUUUCUUCUCACUGCCAUUAUUGUUGAUUUGCAAGAAGAAGAAGAAGAUUAUUGAGGUAAUCUUUGGUGAUGUGAAUUGAAAAACCUUUAGAACCCCAUUUUUGUUAUUGUUGCUUGGUGGUGUAAUUUGCAAAAUCUGAAGAAAAAAAAACCCAGUUUGGAAUCUUGUUUUUGCUUGGAAGAAGAAGAAGAACACAUACAUUAAUAUGGUUUUUCAUGAUAUGGGUUACACAGAAUUGGAAUGAAAGAGUAGUAAUAAUGGGUAACAAUGAUUUUGCAAAAUCUGUAAGUAAAACCCCCAUUUUGUGUUUUUGUUGUUUGGUGAUUGUGAAUUGCAAAAUCCCCUGAUAAGUGAUAAUAGAAAAAACCCAGCUUGGGAUCUUGUUUUUGUUUGAAACAAGACAUGAAUGCACUUUUUCAUGUUAUUGGGUUACACUGCUAUUCAUGUGAAUGAAUCACAAAUAUACAAAAAGGGGGAUGAAGAGUAAUAAUGGAUAAUAGCAGGUAAAACGUCUUUUUUAAAUCAAAGAUGCUGCCAAGAGAUUUUGAUUCAAAGACGUAUUACAGUACUGUUCAACAACAAAAUUCUCACACCCCAGAUUAUAUAACUUAUUACAAACAUCGAAGCCACUCUUUGAUCUACAGAAAAGUGAGACUUAUUCUAAGUUUUCAACUAAUCAUGUUCUUUUGUCGUUGCAGCACUGAUGGAGAGUGACGAUGGUGUUAUUGCACAACUACUGGAGUCCCCUGAACGAAAUCCAAAUCUAGAAGAACAUAUUACAAGUUUGGCAGCGCUAAACAGAGCUCCAUUGACCCGUGAGCAUCAUCCACCAUCUCUUCAAAUUCAACUUGCCCUUCCACCCCACUGCCGCAAUGCUCGGGACAUUUCACCAAAGCUUCUUCAUGCUGAAAAUUCUACAGUUUUUGAGGGCUACUUUCGCCUUGUUGACCGUUGCGAGCUCACCAAUUUUCCGUGGUACGUAAAUGUACCACCAAUUCCUGACUCAAUCUUACCUUGUAACCCUAUUUUCCUUCAAGAAAAGGAUUUCACAAAAAAUGAUAGAAAAAGUAUUUCAUUAAAAGCUGCAACUAUCAAAGCUGCUAUUCCCAGGUUCUUUACACCAGAUGAGGUCCAAACAAUCUAUCAAGGAAAGAAUCGUGGAGAUGGACUUGAGAUUAAUUUUUGGAUCAUUACUCCGGAUAAUCAGGUUAGUGUAGGAAAUGGAAGGUUGAAGGUUGACAGGAUGCGCACAUGUGUUAUUGAGAACUGGUACGAUUCGCAAGAGGAUCACACAAAAAUGUUCUUGGAUAAGCUGUUGACAAAAGCAAAAGGCAAGGGGGUGGCGUCCGUCUUCGAAUGCUUCAAGUCGAGGGAUGUGGAUGUGGAUGAGAGCAAAAGGUAUCUGUGGUUCUUUUAUGAUGCCAGUGUCCCCACAUUCGUUCUAUCUACUGAGGUAAUUACACAUUUAAUGUUUAAAUAACUAAAUAGAUGUGAUUAGUUUUAACCAUCAUGAUCACUGAUUAGCAUACAAAAAUACCAUUUUACAUUUCAAUUUGAGUGCAUGUAUGAUGAGAGGUUCAUGCUAGAUUACAAUCAUGCAUGUAAUAAGAACUGACAUGAAUAGUAUACUUUGAUAUCAUCCCAUUUACUUCAAUUUUUUUCUUAAUUAGCUUUUAACUUUUGUUUGGGGUACUACGAACAUAAAUACCCAGCCCCAAGGCACUUGUCAAAUCAAAGGGUUUCAAGUGGUACAAACUGUCACCAAUGCUUCCUCAAACACCAUCAUCUAAAUUUGUGAGGUUGCCUAGAAAAGUAAUCUUUCUUAGAGGAAAAAAUAAAGAGUUUACCUAAUGGGUGAUGUGCACACACACAUACAUGCAUACAACAUCUACACAGAAGGGAAGCGGUAUUACUAGUAUUAUGUGCAUCUGUAUACUUACUUUGAGCUAUCAUAUAUACGGAAAGCAAAUAGACCAUAAACAGAGAAACAAAGUGCUAUACAGAAAAUGGAAGUGGUAUAAUGUCUAUUCUAUUCUUGUAGUUGCUUUGGUAUAUACAGAAUGGUCAUAGAGUUUGAUCAAUUACCUAUAAAGCACCCCAUAGAUCUCCAGCUCCAGCUUAAGAAGGUUGGUGAACACGUCAAUAGCCCAUCCAAAGAACUGUAACGACAAAAUCCACGCUUCACAAUACUCCAGCUGUCUACCGUGCACACACUAGAACAUGAAACAGAGACAGAAGAUGCAAGUGCAAACUGUUUUAGAAAUUAAACAAACAUUUUACUCUAGUAACUCAUGUCAACGAUAUCCUUAUAGCACAAGUUAAAAUAGCAUUUAGAUAAUUUCUGUUUUUCGUAUUCUAUGUGUCUUUCUCCAACUCUGAUCUCACAUUAUCAUGGAAUUAAUUUUAUGGUAAUGGCUUCUAUAGAUUAGAUUUUACUUAUUGUUGUGUCAGUAUAUAUAAUUAUGACACUCAUUACAUUACUGAGCUAUAUAUUUUAAUAACUUGGCUAUCACAUUUCUUUUCUUUUAAUAUUGUCGCAUUAGUCUAUCUCGACUUACCCUAGCAACUCUUACUGAUAUUGUUUAAUUGCUUAAACAUGUGGCUGACGUUGGCAUUUAUCUUUUCUUUUCAGGAGAACAGCAGCGUUUUAUCAGAUCCUCUUGACCCCAAAUUCAAAGAUUCGCGUUUUAUCGGAUCAAAUAUAUAGUAAUAGGACUCAUUUUUAUCCUGGCGCCUUUUCAGGCUAUGAUGGUUUUGAUUACUUUUAUUGUAUCCUUACUCUUAAUUCCAAACAAUAGGUUUUUAUUUAGCUUUCCAUUUUAAUAAAAUUUCUCUUUUUUAUUUUAAUUGGCAAGCGAGUGUGAGGGGACCCGACCCUUUUAAAUUACGUUAGGAAACUUUUUAUCAAACAAUCAGGUGUUGUGUGUUUCGAACCCAAACCUCUCCCCUUUGUGAGACGGAUGCAUCUGCUGAGCCACAGGCUCAUACACUAGAAUUUGUCUUUUUACCUCCUUUGUGCUUCUGAGUUCUGACUGCUAAGAUUCUAAUGUGUGGGUUUCUAGUUAAGCAUAAUAAAUCUGCAUGGUAAUCACUUUGGCACGGACAGGGUAAUAGCACAUUGGCAACAACAAGUCAUACUAAGAGACAACAACUAAACUGAUGAUGAAACAUUUCAACAACUUUACAAACCACGGUGUUCAGGACGAGAUAAAAGGGCUAAAUUCGGAGAUGUGGACCCUCUCUGUGACAAAAAUAAAAGGUAGGGGAGAAGUACAAGCUUCAAACUUCUUUCCAGUUAAAAAUACAACAAAUAUAUUUUGCUAUUUGCUCAUGUUUUAUCAUGCUGACUUCGAAAUACAAAUGGAGAGGAGUCGGCAAGGGAUUGCCUUGAUAAUGAGUACAUCAUUAUAGUUAGACAGAAAUUGCCUUGACGAUGCCUACAUCACAACUAAAUAAUGUGUAAGGAGGUGAGCCACACAUUUGCAAAGUACUGGGUAAAAUGGAAGGAAAUGCAGGAGAGUGAGGGUAACUUAGACCUGUUCAAUCACUCUGGCAUCAAGGACAAGAUACCAAAAUUUCAAUAAGACAAGAAGGAUGUUUGGUCAGUAGAUGGAAAAAAUACUGUAGUAGGAACUGCUGAUUUUGACCAAGCGAACUUCUCAAUUGAAAUAUCGGGGACUAUGAAUGCACAUAUAUAGAUUCAUCUCAAAUGUACAAAUUAAGACCUUGAGGAUUCUCAAAUGAACAAAAGUUAUGAGAGAAAUCAGAACUCUGAAAUAGGCGGCUAGCUCAUUCUAAACACAAUAAGCCAAUGACCAUGACCGAAUGGUGAGAAUCAAGGCAAGCUAUACAAUAGUGGACGCUAAAUACAAUUUCCAUAUAAAUUUAACUUGAUGAACACCAAAAUCGAGCUGAAAUAUACUCUGUUAUUCACCUAAGACCUUGUGUCUAACCUCCCAAUCUCAAUCCUAAUAUAUUGAUGAAUUAUAAUGAAAGUAAGGUGUGUAAUUUGUAUCUUUUUUCUUAUUAAUAUAUUGAUUGUUUACCUUUCAAAAAAAAUCAUCCUUGGUUCUAUCAAGGAAACUUUAGAUAGACAUAGCAAGAGAACCAAAACCACCCUUAAAAUUGAAUCCUCAGAAAUAAUUUGUUGCAGGGAUAUUAUUAUUAUUAUUAUUAUUAUAUAAAGCAUAAUAGAACAAAACAAUUAUUAAUAAUUGGAUUAUAAAAAAAGUACCAGGAACAGGAACAGGAAAACCAGAUGAUGAUCAACAAGAUAGCUCUAACGCAAAUCCCUGGCAAAAUCGUAUGAUGAUUAAGAUAGAUAGAAUUCACAAGAAUGUUAAAAACAAAUUUCAAACACGCAAUUGAAGAUUAUAAUUCAAUUCAAACCACCUAUACAUAGAUCUACAUGAUUAUUGGCACUAGGACAUUCUUUCAAGUUGCAAGUUGCAAUAAACCAUGUUUAGUUUUUAAGGAUUUGCAGAUGAGAGACUUUUGAGAGAUAAGAAGAAAAGAACAAAUGAUGAUGAGAAAAUAUCAAGAAUCAUAGUUGUACUUGUAUUAGGUUAGGUCCGUGCAUAACACGAAGUAAACACAACGUGGGGGUAUGAAUGACAGCUCACACUUUAUAAAUACAUACGUGAUACGUUGAUACGUACAUGUGUCAGUCAGAUAAACAAAUUAACAAAACAAAAGAUCUGUAAGUUAGCUAUUAACAAGGACAAGAAAGGAAAAACACACGAGUAAUAUAUAUAAUUAGUUAAUUACUAUAAAAAAAAGUCACAAUUGAAUUCUCUCUUUGUGGAGUAAAGGGGUGGGCACGGUUCGGUUCGGUUCCAUUUUCCCACUAAACUGAAACCGAACCGUACAAGCUGGUUCGGUUCGGUUUUAAAAACCGAAAAUUAUUAUUAAAAUUGGGUUGGACCGAACCGAUUUGAUUCGGUUCGGUUCGGUUCGGUUUUCAGUUUGGGCUUUAUUAUGGGCUUUUGUGUUUUAGGCUUUAAUAACUUUUUUUUUUCGUACUUUUUUUGAAUAUUUGAAUAUAAUCUAAUAUUUAUAACAAAAAUAAAAAAAAAACAAAAAAAAAACAAUCAUAUAUAACGUGUAUAUAUAAAUAAAAAAUAAAAUAUAUAUAUAUUAAUAAAUAUAUAUUCGGUUCGGUUCGGUUUGAACCAAAAUAUUAGAAUAGAAAUUGGAACCGAAUUGUAUAUACUCGGUUCGGUUCCGGUUCCGGUUCGAUUUGAUCGGUUCCUAAUCAACACAGUUUUGACCCGGUUCGGUUCCGAUUUUAAUUCGGUUUCCCGGUUUUUUGCCCACCCCUAGUGGAGUUUGUGAGUUGUGACUUUAACUUUGCUGAGAGAGAGAGAGAGAAGAUUUUUUUUGGUGAUCUCAUAUUGCUAUCUCAAACAGAGUUGGUGCCGUGCCGGUGGUACUUAUUCAAGUAAGUCAAGUCGUCGAUCAUCUGGUGCUUUUUUUAUGCAAUUUUUCUUCAAAAAUAAAUAAAAUAAAAAAAUAAAAAAAUCCAAUUUUUAUUACUUAAUUAGCUUCUUCAAUAAAAUUUUAGGACUUUGUUGGUAUCUAUUAUACUAUAUUAAAACAGAAAAUACCCCUAAGAAAAUAUCUCUUCAAUUAGGCUAUCAAUUAGAUUGAAAUUGAUAGCCUAAUUGAAGAGAAUUUUCAUUAAGUUUGGUAAUUAUGCAAAAGUGGACCACCAUCACAGAUAUAAUCAAACCCAAUUAGAACAAAUCAUGGGCAUAAUUAAGCCCAAAAAUAAAAAUAAAAAGUAUACCCAAUACCAAGUAUAAUCAAGUCCAGCCCGUACCCAGUUGGACCAAAUCACAAGCAUAAUUAAGUCCGGUAAAAAAAAUUAAAAUAUACCCAAUCCCAAGUAGAAUAAAAUAUAGUAAAACCUCGAUAAAUUAAUAGCCUUGGGACUAGAGAAAAUUAUUAAUUAAAUGAGAUAUUAAUUCAUCGAUUAAUUAAUAAACUAUUAAUUUACAUAAAUAAUAUAUUUUCAUGUAUAUCUUUCUUUUUGGGGGCUAACAUGAUGAAACUGGACAAUCAUUUUAUUAAAAGUAUACCCAAUCCCAAGUAGAAUAAAAUAUAGUAGAACCUCGAUAUUAAUAGCUUUGGGACUAGAAAAAAUUAUUAAUUAAAUGAGAUAUUAAUUCAUCGAUUAAUUAAUAAACUAUUAAUUUACAUAAACAAUAUAUUUUUAUGUAUAUCUCUCUUUUUGGAGGGCUAACAUGAUGAAAUUGGACAAUCAUUUUAUUAAAAGUAUACCCAAUCCCAAGUAGAAGAAAAUACAGUAAAACCUCGAUAAAUUAAUAGCUUUGGGACUAGAGAAAAUUAUUAAUUAAAUGAGAUAAUGACAAUAUUAAUUUUUGGAGUUACUUAUAAAUAAUUUGGUUUACUACCUAUAAGUCAAUUGUUACUUAUGAUUAACACUAAAAUCGAUAAUGAUACUGGAAUAAUUUCUUCUUGCAAUACAAAAUACAACAGCAGAUCAACUUAGCAACAAUUGGCUUUUAUUAUAAAAAAAUAUAAAAUAUUUUUGUAUAUCAAAAAAAUAUUAAUUUAUAUAUUAGUUGGGCCUUCAAGGAUUUUUCUAAAAUGUAUUAUCUAAUAAAUUUAGUGAAAUAUUAAUUUAUCGACCUAUGCCCAAGUUGGGACCAACCAAAAAUAUUAUUUAAAGGAGAUAAUUAAUUUAUCGAGUAUUAUCUUAUCGAGGUUUUACUGUAUCUCUUCAAUUAUGCUGAAAUUGAUAACCUAAUUGAAGAGAAAUUCAUUCACUUUUGGGUAUUUUUGUAACUACACAAAAUAAAUAAAAAUAGGUCAAUAUGUAAUUUCACAUUUUAAAUACAACCACUUAUAUAGUAACCCUAACUCGAAUUCUUUAUAGGCAAUAAACCAAAUUAUCACCACUAGAUCUAAUACCAGUAAUAGACUACCAUUGAUAAAAUGCCCUAACUCGAAUUUCUUUCAAUUCAACAAUUUUAACUUCAAUAAGUUUACCAGUAAUCUUUUUUGAAUAAGUAGCUAAAUAAUUAUCUGGUGGAAGUAGUGAUUUACAAGUAUCUCUAAGAUUUACAUUGAAAUCACCAGAUGAUUUACUACGUUUGUACAACUUCUCCAUCUUCCUCUUCACUCAAAGUCUAUAUCUACUUAUAUGCUUAUAUUUGAUCCAUGUAUAUUUGAUGUUUGCUGAAAAUCUCUCAACGACACAGAAAUUAAACUCACCAUUAUUCUAAGUCAAAUGGGAAGGUAUGCAAGUUUAUUAAUACGAUCAUUAAUAAUAUUAAUAUGAUAUUAUUAUGGACACACAUCAAACAUAUUUGUGAUGACCAUUUUCAAGUACAUUCUCAACUUGACAAAAAGUAUACUUUGCAAGAAUAUGGAAAACCAAAGCCAUUAAUUUUGAUAAUGAUAUUGGAAUAAUUUCUUCUUGCAAUACAAAAUACAACAGCAGAUCAACUUAUCACACUACAAAAAUUCAGAGACGAGGUUCAAACCAAAAUCAAUUUUGAGAAAAAAUAAGCAACAAUUGACUUUAUUAUAAAAAAAUAUAAAAUAUAUUUGUACAUCGAAAAAAUAUUAAUUUAUAUAUUAGUUGGGCCUUCUAGGAUUUUUCUAAAAUGUAUUAUUUAAUAAAUUUAGCGAAAUAUUAAUUUAUCAACCUAUGCCCAAGUUGAGACCAACCAAAAAUAUUAUUUAAAAGAGAUAAUUAAUUUAUCGAGUAUUAUCUUAUCGAAGUUUUACUAUAUCUCUUCAAUUAGGCUGAAAUUGAUAACUUAAUUUAAGAGAAAUUCAUUCAUUUUUGGGUAUUUUUGUAACUACACAAAAUAAAUAAAAAUGGGUCAAUAUGUAAUUUCACAUCUUAAAUACAACCAUUUUCAUAGUAACAUUAACUCGAAUUCUUUAUAGGUAGUAAACCAAAUUAUCACCACUAUAUCUAUACCAGUAAUAAACUAUCAUUGAUAAAAUGCUCUAACUCGAAUUUCUUUCAAUUUAACAAUUUUAACUUCAAUAAGUUUACCAGUAAAUUUUUUUUGAAUAAGUAGCUAAUUAAAUAAUUAUCUGGUGGAAGUAGUGAUUUACAAGUAUCUCCAAGAUUUACAUUGAAAUCACCAGAUGAUUUACUACGUUUGUACAACUUCUCCAUCUUCCUCUUCACUCAAAGUCUAUAUCUGCUUAUAUGUUUAUAUUUGAUCCAUGUAUAUUUGAUGUUUGUUGAAAAUCUUUCGACGACACAGAAAUCAGAACUAAACAGUAUUCUAAGUCAAAUGGGCAGGUAUGCAAGUUUAUUAAUACGAUCAUUAAUAAUAUUAAUAUGAUAUUAUUAUGGACACACAUCAACAUAUUUGUGAUGGUCAUUUUCAAGUACAUUUUCAACUUGACAAAAAGUAUACUUUGCAGGAAUAUGGAGAACCAAUAACCUAUGUCCUUUCUUUGCACUUAGUAGACAUUGACAAAAAGUAAAUGAAAAUAGAAAAUAGACUCCAAUAAAAAUGAUGAUAUAAUCUUCAAUACAUUUCAAUGGUGGGGAUAUGAAAGGGGACCCAAGUAGCAGUAAGACCUAUUUACUGCAAUUUUAGUUUCCAUUCAUUUGUGAUCUAAUGUAUGUAAAUGUGUUGUAGAUGGGAUUAUAUCAAAAAAGGUCGCAAGAUUCACACAGACAUGGAUUGUAUGGUUGCCUUCCGGAAAGGCUUAACUACAUGGACCUAAGGGGACCUCUCCGUCACAUUACAAGUAAUUCAUUUUUAUCAUCAUAAUAGUUUGCUAAAUAUUUCAAAUUUUCAGGAUGUUAACUGUUACAAUCCAAAUUAAGAGACGCUCGACUGCUAAUGGACUACUGUGAAAAGAUUGUUUCCCAAAGUAAUGAAGCCUCAACAACCGAGCCAGACUAAAUUCUAAUUGAGACUUUGAGAAUUGAGAGUGCUGCAAAAUUCCACUCUCCUGAAUAUCUUUAACUACUUUGGGUUUAAUUUUCAUGUAUAUAUAAUAAUCAUUCAAUUUCAAUAACAAUGAUUUAUAAUAAUUCUAAAUGAAAUCAUACCAGAUCAUAGACUUUUAAAACGGGCUAAACAAAAUAUUACAAGUUAAAAACCAAAAGCAACAUAAAACCCCAAAAAAACUCUAAAACAAUCAGAUCUACCCGUGCAUUGCACGGGCCUAAGGACUAGUAUCAAGUACUAGCAGCUGACCCAUGCCUUCGGCACGUACGACGGAUUUUGUCAAUGAUUUUGGAAGUUAGGUUGGUUGAUUUGUAAUAUUUUUUUUAUUAUCGGACUUUGAUCCGGAUCAGGUAUAAGUUAAAUGCACACGUAUAAGAUAAAUGCAGAACCGUAGUUGUAAAACAUUGUGAUGGCAUUUAUUGUUUUUUCCAUAGGUAGUAAUGUUUUUUUUGUACCAACACAAAAAAUUCGUCAGGAGAUGUUGGGUAUCGGUGUUUGUGAAGAUAUUUUGGUUCAUAUGAGGAGUUGUGUAGUAGUAAACUUUAAUUUUCUUUACACAUCCAACAUGAUUGACGAAUCCUUGUGGAUCAUGCAUAAUGCAAUAGAAUUAUUGCAAAUAAAAAGGGGUUUGGAAUUUUGGAAGUUGACAUUAGUUGGUGGAUGACAAUUGGAUUGAGGCAUUAGUCGUUAACCACAUGGAGUACUUGACUAUGAAUCGCAAAAUGUUAUUAUUUUUGGUUUAUAGGGCUAUCAAAAUGUGUCUGCAAAUUAUCUUACAAUAUAUCAAUUCAUAUAUAAUUAGUUUCACACUUCAUAAAUCUACAAACAAAGAAAGAAAUACUCCAACUUUACUUGUAUUAUCAUUCAUCGCAUCGUUAUAGCUUUUCUUUUUCUAACACUGCAUAUGAUGACACCUAAGUUAGAAAGUCUUCUAAGUCCUAAACUCCUUAUUGAUAUUUGAGUAUAUAGAAUUUGUAUUCAUUGCUAAUCUUAGUAUAUAAAUGCAGGAAACUUAAUUUGUUGGUGGUCGUUCAUGGUGAUAUUUCAAUGGAUUAAUUUGUUGGUUGUUGAUUUACCGGUCUAGCUACACCUACCAUAAAAAGAAAAAUAGGUGUGCUCAUUAUUGGUGAUGACAGUGAUCAGAACAACUAUAAAAAAAUAUGCAGAAAACUGUCUAUGAAGAAUUGUGGUCUUGUAAGAACAAUCUAAAAUAUAAAAUAUAAAUUUUGUAAAUAGAAAUAUAUAUACAGUUACCAAUACAUUGAAUAGCAGUAAUUCAUUUAGAAAGUACAAUAUUGUUCGUAUAUUGUAUCUGUAUUGUAUAAUUAAAUUUUGCUAUGUACUUUGAUCCAAAACCUAUUCAGUAUCAGUAUCUAUUUUUUUUAAUGAUAUUUUUAAUGAGAAAUAGUAAAUAUGGUGGUUUGUAUACAAAAAUAUUGAAAAACGGAACUUUGAAUUUUAAUGAUGUUAUAUCAAUUUAGUAAUGUCAGUUUUAUUUUCUUGGGUAUAGAUAUUGGGAAGUAAAUAUUGGGCUUGUUGUUGGAUUUUGUGAGGGUCAUUUGGGGUUGAUCCUGAUUGUCGCGUUUAUUUGUGGUGAACAGAUGUAUUUUAAUAGAGUAACUUUUUUUUCUUGGGUUUUGAGACUAUAUAUUUUUUAAAGACGGUGUUUUCAGUGUUUUGGUUUGUUAGUGUUCUUUUGCGGUUUCUCUUUUUUUUUUUUUAUUGUUUGGUUUUUCAGAGAUUUGAAGGAAGCCAUUUUUGGAGAAUAUGUAUUCACAAUCUGUUCAAAGGUUGGUUAUGUUAUUAUUGGGUUUUUUUGAGUAGAUAUGUUAUUAAUUUUGUCCGAAAUUUUUUUAUUUUAUUAUAGUUAUUGGGUGAUUUUUGUGUUUUUUCAUGUUGAUUUGUUUUUUUAGGGAUGUUAGUUUAAGAAUAUGUUGUGUUUUUUAGUAAAUUGCGUACUAUUUUGGGUUAUAUAUGAGAAUUAGUUUAAGUCCUGAUGAAUUUUUAAUUUAAUUUAUAUAUUAUCUAUAUAUAUUUGAACCUUGAUUACUGUAUGUUGGUAUUAUUUUGUAGGAAUUUAAAUCGAGACAGGAUUAGUUGUUUGUCACUUGAGAUUCGCAAUCAUAUUGUAUCUUUUUUAUCUGUGGAAGAUGCAAUGCGGGUUUGUACCCUUUCAAGAGUAUGGAGGGGUGUUUGUUCUUCAAUUUCUUGUAUGAAAUUCGAUCAGAUGUUGUUUAUGGCUAGAGGUUCUUGUGUUGCAGAUUUUAGAAAUUUUGUUGAUGAAUUGUUAUUUCGGCAUGAUGGAUCUGAUAUAGAUGAUAUGCGAUUCCGGGUUACAGUGGAUGAUGUGUAUGUUACUCCUCGUCGUAUUAGUAGUUGGUUAGCUUUUGCAAUGUUUCAUAAUGUUAGGAGUAUAUAAUUUUCUCUUUUGGGUGGACAUUUGCGAAGGUUUUCUUGUUCUUUUUAUAAUUGUAAUAGUUUGAAGAUGUUGAAGUUGGUUAGGGUUGAGGUUGAAUGGCCUGAGAGUUAUAGGUUGCCACUAUUGGUGAAGCUGUGUUUGCAUGAGGUAGUUUUUAAUAAUGAAGAAGUUGUGGAGAAUCUGAUUUCGUGGGGGACAUGUCCUAUGUUGAAGGAGGUGGAAUUACAUUGUUGUGUUGUUUUGGUGGUUUGGUGACGGGAUCGAUAAGCCUGGCCUUCAAUCUGUAGUGAUUAUGAUCGACAAAUGCUUGAAUUUAGAGUAUAUGUACCGAAUUUGUUGAGUUUGGUGUGUAAUUGUUGGAAAGUUCUUAAAAUAAGGCCAGACACAUUGCAGUCAUUGGUUUCUGCUGAGUUCAAUUUUUAUUGGGAUAUUGCUGUUAGUGAUGGUACUUUGAAGGCUGCUUAUUUUGCAUGUGUUAGGAAAAUUCUGACUGGUUUGACAUCUGCAAAGACUGUCAGCUUUAAUAGUAUCUUUACUGAGGUUUGUUUUGGAUAUUGUUUGAUAUAUAUUUGUUUAUAUGUCAAGGUGAUUAUAUAAUUUCUAAUUUUUUUUCGGUACUUUGUAUAUGUGGCAGUUCCUUUGCUGGGGUGAGGAGGAACUAAUAGCAUUAGUGCCUAUGAGGUUUGCAUCUGUGAGUCGAUUAUGUUUGGAUUUAUUUAACAGUGAUAAACAUUUAGAGGUGUUGAAGAUUUUAUUAAGGAGCUAUGUUGAUUUGGAGUUUUUGGAAAUCGUUGUUGUUGAUAAGGUAUGUUUUUGAAAUUUUUUUUUCAUGAGAAUACAUAACUUAUUAGAUUUUAAAUCUGGUUUUGUUGCUGUAUAGGAACAUGUAUGUUUUAAGAUGCUAAAGGCAAUGAAUUCUUCUGAGAAUGAGGUGUUUUGGGAUUCAUAUAUGGUUGUUGAUGAAGAUAUUCUUCAGGCGUUGCGGGUGGUGGAGGUAAAGAAUUUUGGUGGAAGAAAACAUGAGCGUGUUUUUGUACAAUAUGUGCUUGAGGCUGCUCCUUCUUUGGAGCGAAUAGAUUUUACAUAUCCGGGUCAGGAGUUUGCAGGAUAUUAUAAUCAGAUGAGAGUUGUUCAAGCAAUUACAAAAUAUCGCGAAAGGUUUACAAAUGUUUUGUUUUCUAUUAUAUAAAGGUCUGGUUCUAUUUUAGAAGGUGUUGUUCAUUUUGUCUAUGAAAGUAUUUUUUUUGUUUUGUAAAAGGGGGAAGUGGUUUUUCUAAACUACUUAUUUGUUUAAAUUGAUGAAGUUGUUGUAAUAAUCAAUUUUUGGAAGGUUGAUUCUGUAAAUGUUGAUGGUGUUUAGUAUGGUAUGAAUAUUUUGAUGUUGUGGUAUGUAUAUAGUUUUUGUGUGAUUUAGAUAAUGAACAGAAAUUUAGUUUAUUCAUGUCCAUUUAAGAACUUGCAUAAUCAAAUCAGUUGUCCAAAGCAUAUUUAUAGUAGUAUAAGUUUUGAAUGUUCAAUUAUUUCUGUUGAUUCUUAAUUUUGAUUUGUUUGCAAUCAGUUGAGUUUACAUUUUGGAAUGGUAACUUCAAUAAGUUAGAAGGAAGUCUGNNNNNNNNNNNNNNNNNNNNNNNNNNNNNNNNNNNNNNNNNNNNNNNNNNNNNNNNNNNNNNNNNNNNNNNNNNNNNNNNNNNNNNNNNNNNNNNNNNNNNNNNNNNNNNNNNNNNNNNNNAGGUUUGGAAUGGGUUUCAUCUGAUGGCCCAAAAAUGAGUGCUUAUAUGUUGGUCAGUAUAAAGUACAAAGUAGAUAGAAGAGUAGAGUAGAGUACAAAUUAGGAUAGAGUAGAGUAGAUAGACUUGAGUGCUUACGUUGGUCAGUACAAAGUAGAGUAGAGUAGGUAGAAGAGUAAAGGUGAAAUUUGGGUUGGGCUGAAAAUGUGGGUAGAUUCAGUGUUGACCGGGUUGGGUUUUCUUUGUAGGUGGAUUUUUUGUUUUGAAGAUUGGAAAAGGUGAUGUGGAAAUUUGCAUGAUAACCGUGUGUAUUGAAGUUGAAUGCAUGGGAAUUGGUGCAUUGGAGUGGACUAUUUUGUUCAGUGAAGAAGGAACGAUUGUUAUUCCGUUUGAUAACACAAAUUGAUUCUGAUCUGGGUUUUGGUUUGUCGAUUUGCUGUUCUUGUUUUUCUGGUUUUGUUUGUCGAUUUCUUUCUGGUUUGGGUAGUAAAAUUUGGAGUUUUCUGUGAAGAUCAAGGUUAGUGUUUUAUUUUAUUUUUUUGGUUAAUAUAAAUAUAUUUUUUGUUGGGUUUUGUAAUAUGUAAAUUUUGAUUUUUAUUGUUGGAUAUUUUAUUCUGUUCAUAAUUUUUAUUUUUUGUAAUGAGUAUUAAAAUAUUUAUUUUUUGAAUAUUUAUUUAGAUAAUAUUUUGAUUGUAGUUGCUAGAAAGCUGAUUUAUUCAUUUUGAUUUUGUUAGAAAGUUAUAGGGUUAUGUAAAAGAAUUGAAAUCUGUUGAAGAAUAUUAGUAUCCGAAUUUUUGUCGUUAUAUUCUGUUUAAAUUUUUGUUUCGGUAAUAGAGAGUAGCAAAAUUAUCUGUGGUAAAAAGUAUCUGUGGUAAUAGAGAGUAGCAAAAUUAUCUGUUCAAAAUUAUCUGUGGCAAAAUUUUUCCUUUGGUUGCGAUAAGUCUGCUGCUCUGUAUUUGGUUUUUCUGGUAAAAAGUAUCUGUGGUUUUGCAAAGUAAUUAAUUUUUAGAACAAAAGUUGAUAAGUCUGCAAAAUUAUAGUCACGAUGGUUAUAUACUAACAGUUGUAAAGUCAAAAUAACUAAUUUUUAGAACAAAAGUUGAUGUGAUCAUAAAAUUAGAGUCACGAUGGUUAUAUACUAACAGUUGUAAAGUAUUUGUGUAUAUAUAACAUGAUUGAAUCUGUUUGAGUGUAACAAAUAUCCAUUAUGUUAGGUAGUAUUAUUUCUUUGUUGGUUCUUUUAAUUGAGGAGAGUCAACUUCAAUUUUCGUGUAUUUUUUUAUCGAUUUAUGGGUACUUUUGUAGGUGAGUACUUAUAUGAAAGAGUUAACCUUAGUUAUAUAAAUGAGUAGUUAUAUAAUGUGUUUAAAUAAAUAGAUCAAAUUAUGAAAGAAAGUCCAUAUUUAUAAUGUUUGUAAGAAAUGAAUAAUUGUUUUUGAAGUUAGUUGCCAGUCUGACGAAAAAUGUUUGCACACGUUUUGUUUACUUCUGAUUUGUGUUGUUUUUAUACUAUUUAUUUAUGUAUUUUUGAAUUGGAUUUUUGGUCUGAUUUUUUAGGGUGGCAGAGGACACAUUUGUGGGAGUCAUGGAUAGGACCAGGUGAGGUUGUUUUAUUCUAUUGAUUUGUCAGUAUUAUAUUACGUCUAUAUUGAUCUGUCAAUAUUAUUUGUAUUUGAUGUGGUUAAUAUGUUAAUUUUUUUUUUUUGUUAUUUAUUGUUUGAUUUUCUCUUAAUCAAUAAUGAAUUAGGAAAAAUAAAAACAAUAUUUGUUUAGAGGAUAUUUUGCAUUAUAUAUAUAAAUUUAUAUGUAAUGUAAGGACCUUUUUUAAUAUGAAUUUAUAUGUAAGGUCCUGGUUCAGUAUGAAUUGUUGGUUAAUUUUGAAUGCCCCGUCGUUGAACUCCUUGUGAGGGUACUACAAUUGUUCUUGUGAAGGCAUUCCUCCUUGUGGCUGAUAUUUUCCAGGUCACUGAGGAUGUACUCCUACAGCAUCACUCUAAGGAUGUACUCUGCCACUACCAAAAAAUCCCUGGGGAGAUACAAUUGGUACUACAAUUGUAUCCACCGCAACCUAAGGAUGUUCUUGUGAGGGUACUACAAUUGGUCCACCGCAGCCUCCCUAUUGUUGUUGAGGUCUCCAUCCACCUCUUCCAACUUGUGGUACUCGUCCUCUCUGUCGAAGGGUUGGAAAUUGCUGCUGCAUUAGGGGUCAAUAUUCUUUUUGUUAUUUAUUUAAUAUUGUAUAGCUUUGAAAAAUAUCUGAAUUGGUACUUUGUUGUUGUUAUUUUGUUUAUAUAUUUUUUUUAUAAAAUAAAUGAUUCAAUGGGUCCAAACAGGUCUAAACAUUUACAAGUUUAGAUAAUUUGUUUCAUAUCAUGUAGUUCAGAUUUAGAUAUGGUUUAUUUAUUUGGAUUGCAUGUUUGGUUAGUAGGUAGACAUAUUGGAAUGAUGUAGUUCAUUUCAUCUGUAAUUUAUUUUUUAUUUAUGAAUAAAUUUCUAAAUUUGGUUUCAUUAUGGAAAAUGUCUUUGCAGAUUAUUGACUCGGGAUAGAUUUAGUUUUUUGCCAGAUGAGGUGCGUAAUUAUAUUAUUUCUUUCUUAUCUGUGGAGGAUGCGAUGCGAGUCAGUACUGUUUCAAAAUUGUGGAGAAAUGCGUGUUCGUCUUUGACUCGAUUGACAUUUGAUGAAGUUGAGUUUCUUGAAAGAGGUUAUACAGUAGCAAAUUUUCGAGAUUUUGUUGAUGAAAUAUUAUUUCGACAUGAUGGUUCUGAUGUUUUAGAGUUUCAUCUUAGAGUUAUGAUUGAUGAUAUUCAUGUUACUCCUCGUCGGGUUAUUGGAUGGCUGUCAUUUGCUUUUUUUCAUAAUGUGGAAAUCAUUGAUUUGUACAUUGUGGAUUGGUAUUUGGAAAGGUUUUGUUAUGGAUUUUAUAAUGGCAGAUUUGUAAAGAGUUUAAGGUUAUUCAGUGUUCAAAUUGAAGGGCCUGUGUUGUUUAAAUUACCAUCGUUGGAGAAACUUUAUAUGAGUGAUGUGAUUUUUACCAAUGAUGAAGUUUUACAGAAUUUGAUUUCGAGUGGAUCAUGUCCUCUACUUCAAGAAGUUGAAAUUCAAUCAUGUGUAAUUGGUGGACCUGCUCUUGUUAUUGUCAAUCCUGUUCUUCUGUCUGUGGUAGUGUAUGAUGAGGAAAUUACUGAAUUGAAAAUAUUUGUUCCGAAAUUGUUAAAAGUAGUCUGCCAUUGUUGGUCAAUGCCUAUCAUUCCGAAGAAUAAUUUGGCUUCUUUAACAGAUGUUAGAGUUGAAAUUUUUUUUGAGAAUGAAGAAGUUGAUGAUUUGUUUAAGGUAGGUGCUACUGCUGGAGCUCAGGGAAUCUUGAUUGGACUGACUAAUGUGAAAACAUUAUAUUUCAAUUCUAUUUUCAUUGAGGUUCGAUAUAAAAUAUUUAAUAAAGUUUUAUUUUUAUUAUAUUAUUUAUAAGUCAUUUUGGAGUAAUCUUUUUUAUUUGUAUUUGAUCUGAAAAUGAUGCAGUACCUUUGUUGGGGAGAAGAAACUUUGGUGUCAAGAUUGCCUCUAUGUUUUCGCAAUCUCAGAUGUUUAUGCCUGGAGUUAUUCAAUAGCUACAAACAUUUUGAAGUGUUGAAACUUUUAGUAAGGAGUUGUCCUGAUGUGGUCAGACUGGAAAUUACUGCUGUUGAUCAGGUAUGCUAAUAUUAUAAUAUAUAAUUGUUAUGUUUUUUUAUAUAUAUUUUUAAUUAAAAUAUUGGAUAUUAUAAAAUGUUUGAUUAUAUUGGUUAUGUUUUUUUUGUAGGAACAUUUAUGCUUUGAAAUGUUGAAUUCAAUUGAUGUUUCACAGAAUGAAACAUUUUGGCAGUCACGUAUAUUUAUUGAUGUAGAAGUUAUUACUGCCCUUCGUGAAAUGGAAUUCAGAUAUUUCGGUGCUAAGAAAUAUGAGGUUGCGUUUGUGGAUUUCAUCUUUCGAAUGUUUCCGUCAUUGUUUCGAGUAAAGUUUACCUACCCAGAAAGAGAAUUUCCAAGGGGGCAUCGGGGAAGAAAAAUUAGGAAGAUGAUUAACUACUAUCGGUUGAAAUAUGAGGAUGUUAUUGUAAGGUUGAUAUGAUAUCGUGGUUGUUGGGUACAAUUUCUUGUGGAUGUAUUGUGCAUAUUGGGGGUCGUUACAGUCAGUUUUUUUUUAUUAUCAGAUGUUAUGGAGGUACAAAGUUGGAUUUGGACUGGUACAAAAUAUGUACUAAUAUUUGGUCAGAAUUUUUUGGGUGUAGUUAUUUUCGUUGUGUACGUUUUUUGUUUUGUCAGAUUUCGAAGAUUAAGGUUUUGAAGGAAUAUUAUAAAUUUUUGUAAGUUUUUGAAGGAAUAUUAUUAAAGUAUUUGUUGAAUGCUUUUUGUUAUUUUUUAUUUGGACUUAUCGGAUCAAGCAUAUGCAGAGAACAGACUAUUGUUUGUGAAGUGAAGAAGGCUAAUCAUAAAAACUUCUUCAGCAAAUUGAGAGGUAAAAGUGAUGUCAUAGGAACUUAGUUGGGUUAAUGUGUUAGGAAAUGAGUUGAUGCCAUUUGGAAUUUAGGAUGUAUUUGAGGCCAACAACUGUGAAAUGUUGGCUUGUAGUUUCUAUUCCUGACUUGUAGUAUCUAAACAACUAUUUUUGCAUCUGUUUAGAUAAUAAGAUGUUUAAAUAUACAAAUAUUGUUUUUACAGUAUUACAUAUGUAGUAGUACAUAUAAAUACAGAUUUAUAAAGAAAUAGUUAGAGGACAGUACAUUGUGCUUAGAUAGUAGUAAUUGAUUGUACAAUAUUUCUUAUUUCAUUCUACAUAAGAAAGGUGGAGUGUUGCUCAAUGCUUUAGAUGUUUCUCUUGAAAAAGCAAAAGUCAGAUAUGUAUUCAGAGAAUGCAAAAUUCUGCUGUUGUACUUGUUUAUCCUGAAAAAUUAAAAAUAUUGCGAAGAUGAAAUAUUAAUAUGAGGUUGCUUGAAUAAAAUGUUUCUUAUUAAUAAGGACGAAAAAAAAAAAUUAUUAUAUACCUUCUGCCAUAGAUAGAUGUUAUCCAAUAUUAAUAUCGGAUAAUGCUGCUUGUAAGGUAUCAGGAAUGGUAAAGUGAAGCAGCUAAAAUAGUAAACAAUCGAAUGAGUUAAUCUGUAUAAAAAUAAAAGACUGAAGUUUAAAUGAAAUGUAUAAGAAUAUUUACCUUUAUUGUAAAUAGUUGAUUUGUAUAUGGAUUCAUUCUUUUAUCGACCAUGUCGUUGUAGUUUUGCAUAUCAACGGCUUUUAUUGUUGAACAAUGUUGAUCUUGGCAUAUAAGUUGGGGUAUUUUGUUUUUGUAGGUUAUUAUUUUUGUAUAACCAGAACAACCUAUAUUAGCACAUUUCAUGUAGUACCUGUGACAAACCAGGGAAUGAUGACCGGCAGCUCCGCACACAUAACAUAUGAUAUUUGGAUUAUUAAUGUAUUUUGGGUGAAGAAGGUUGUGUUUGAAGUAUGGAGAAUUUUGGUCAAUUUGGAUGUUUCCAUUGUUGUCGAUAUGUUGAUGUAGUAUAUCUUCCAUCCAAAUGCUUUCAAGGAUAUGAUGUUUUUCAUAAUCGGAUAUUUCGUUGUUUUUUUCAAAUUCCAUCAGUACGUAUAAAUAUUAUACCAAAUGAAGCUGUUAAGAAAUUAGAUGUAAAAUGAACUGAACGAAAUACCGUAGAGAAGAUGUAAGGAAGAAUAAAAAAAGAGGGAGUAGAUAUGGUUAGAGAUUAGGAAAAUGUGUUUGUUUAAGUAUUGAGAGGGUAGGUCGGUUCUGUAUUUGUUGUGGGUCAUAACUUAGUCAUGUUUGGAGAUAUAAAUACGUGUUCGCAUUUGAAGAUGCAAUUAUUUAGAAAUAGAUGAGUCAUGGUUUGUAGGUGUAAAGAUUCUGUUAAGAGCAGAAAGUAGUAGAAAAUUGUAGAUAAAAAAAUAAGGAUGAAGCAAGAAUGUUAUAGGGUUUUUUUUUAAAGAAGGUCAGUUGCAAGAAUAUGUUUUUUGGGAGGAUAGGUUUUGUUUUUUAAUAAACAUGUGAGUAACUAUUCUGGAUGAGAAGUUCACAUGUAAUUGAGUUUUUGUUGGUUAUUGUGAAAAUAGAUUGCGUGUUCAUUUUUUUUAUAUUUAAUGAUAUCAUUUAUAUUGGAUAAGACUGAGAAGAAGAGAUAAGGAUUUUGGUUGAAGCUGUCCUCAUGAUGUUUUUGUUAUUCUUCUGCAGGAAAUCACAUGCAGAAGAACAUGUAUUUGCUUUGCUUUAGGGUUUUGGUUAUAUUAUAUAUUAUAGGUUAUUUAAUUUAUAGAAACGGUAAAAAAGGAAACAAUAUUAUGAAUAUAGGAUAGUUUAAUAUUGUUCAGAAAAGAAUAAUUUUUAUAAAACAAUAUAUUAAUAUAUUAUUGUAGUGACACGCGGUGAAAGAUGGAUUUGUUUUAUUUGAGGACUUUUGCGAACAUUUGUUAGAUAAAUAGAAUAUAUUAAAUUUUGGCAAGAAGAAACUGUAUGAGCUGUUCAGUCGGAUGAGCUGUUAUAAACAUAGAUAAUUUCUUUAAAGAGAGGAUAGUUUUUUCCCUUUUGUUUGAAGAAAAAAGGCUGCUGAUAUCAUGUUCACAAAGCAAGCAGGGAGUUCAAGUUCGUCGCGAUAUAAAUGUUUUAUAUGUUCUGAAGUUGGGCAUUUUGUAAGUGAUUGUAUAUAUAAUGAAUUCCCCUGUGUUUUGCUUAAUGCUGUCCAUACAAUGAAGUUUGGAGUGAGUUCUCAAAAAAAAUCAUUGGGUAGACAGUUUUUAAGCUGUAGCUAUGGUGGUGGUGAUUGCAAAGGUUUUUUAUGGGUGGAUGAGAUUAGCAAUAUUCAACUGAAAAAAGAACAAAUUUGGUGUAAGAUGCGAACGAAACAGGAAAUAUGUAAUAAAGAAUCUGGGAAAAACGAAUCACUUGUUCUUACAAUUUCAACUGUAGACAAUCUGGAAAUGAGCGUAGAAGGCAAUGCGAAUGAGAUUAGUAAGUUAGUUCAAUCUUUAGCUAGAAGUAAUAUUAAUUAAUAAAAUGUAGUUGUUAUUUCAAAUAUUUGAUGAGUGUAAAUUUGUAAUAAGUUAGUAAAUUUAUUUUAGUUAAAUUUGGAAUUUUUCUUUUAUCAAUGCUAUCGGUUUAUUUAUGUGGAAUAUAUUAUCAUUGAUUUUAAAUAUUUUAUAAAUCAAUGUUUAUAUUUAUAAUUUAUAAUUUAGUUGAAAAUUUGUAUAUGAUUUGUACCUAUAUAUUUUAUAAACCAAUAUUUGUGAAAUUUAAAAUGAAGAUAUGAGAAUUUUUGCAAAUGUUAAUGGAAAUGAUUUUUUUUGGAUAUUUGUUCGAAAAAAAUAGGGAAAAUGAAAAAUUGUUGGAAACGAAAUUCAUCUGUAAUUUGAUAGAUUUGAAAAAAUAUAAGAAUCGGUGGAUAUUGAAAACAUAUGUAACACACGAAAAUUUGGAUAUUAAUUGUUUGGUGAGAGAAUUUAAUAAUAACUAAAAAAAUUUUAAAGAUGUUUUGUAAAUAGAAGAAAAUUUGGUAGAAAUCUAAAGAUUGUAAGAAAAAAUAAUAUAUUGAAUAUAAUGAAUUUUAUUUAUAUUAUUGUGUUAUGGUAGGCAAAAUUUUGGUUUAUCAAUCAAAUAUAUUGCUCAUUUGGAUGUGGAAACAUGUUUAUCAGUUAAUAUUGAAAUGAGUUUGUUAUUGAUAAGAGUAAAAAGAGUAAUAUAUGAAGGUAUAUAUUUUACUACUUGAGACUUGGGAGAAUUAUGUGUUUUUCCAAUGCCAAUAAAAGUUCGGAAGAGGAAUUGACUUAUACGAUUAGAAAUAAAGUUGAGUUGAAUAAUUUUACGUGUUCAUUUCUGAAUUUGUCAGAAGAUAUUAUGGAAGUGGUCAUCUUCAGGGGAAUAAAAAUAGGUAAUAUAUUAUAUUAAGUGUAUUUUCAUUAGGUAUACGUGUAUCCAUGGAAGUGGUCAAGUUCUGCAUGUUCUGAAAUGAUUUGUUCAGAAAAGUAGUGUUUUCAAUUUGGAAAUGAAUUCUAAAUCUGCAAUAUUAAUGGAUUGAUUAGACAAAUUUUACAAAUAUGUAAUGAUGAAAAUAGAAAAGAUAUCUAAAUACUUAACCCAUGAUUGUACAAUGUCUGCCGUGCAGAGAAAGUAUCAAUACCUAUUUGAUAUUUCGUUGCUACUAUUUUUGCAUAAAAUAUAAUAGAAUUCUUGAGUAUUUUUGCAUGAAGAAAUUAUUAAUCAUUUUUUUAUUUUCGGCUUUAAUUGUUUGUUUUUCUUGGAAGUUAGUAUGACUGAUAACAAAAUUGGAACAAUUUAUUUGAUAAAUCUUUUAAAUAAAAUUAAUUAAGGAAGAAUUAAGGAAAAAAUUGUGUGAAAACACAGUUGACCUGCUAUAAUUCUCACAGUUGAAAAUUCAUAUUUAUUUAAUAUAAUUCUCACUGUUAUAUAUCCUUUAGCAAAUAAAUAUUCUCACUGCUAUAUUUUCUGACAAUAAAUUAAAAAUAAGUUUCAAAUGAAAGAAUGAAGGUGGUAAAUAUCUGCAUUGACCAUAAAGGUUAGAUAUUUGUCAUUAAUUGUAAUGGGAUUUUGCCUAGAUUAUGAAAUAUUCCAACUAUAUCUGUAUGGGAUAUAAAAUAAGACAUUCAAGUAGAUAAAUAUCUUUAAGAAUAUCUAUGAAAUAUCUUUGUAUGAUAUCUUUAAGAAUAUCAUACAAAGAAAAUCUAUGUUUAGUAUAGGUUAGUAAGGAUGAGUACUUAGUAGGUGGUAAAAGGAUAAGAGUUGGUAUGACAAAGUAAGUAUACAAAAUAAGAUUUGGUAAAAGGAUAAGAGUUGGUAUGAUAAGAGUUGUUGAUAGGAGUUUAUGAGUACUUUGGAUGAGUAAGUAUACAAAAUAAUAUUUGAUUGUAAACCAUAAUACAAGUGUCAAUAACCGAAAUAUUGAUUUAUUGGUAGAUGUUGCGGAAGGAGAAGAGGUUAGAACAAUUGAGUGUGGUCACACGUUUCAUGCAAUUUGUUUAUUUAUAUGGGUUGAAAACAGAUCAGUCUGUUGAUCUGUUACUAUAGGAAUAUAUGUUGAUGUUACUAUUUGGGAACAGAAAGAAAGAUUUUAUUAUAUGAUGAUAUUUUUCAAAUUUAUAAGAGAUACAAACUGAUAUAGUUUAUAGUAAGUUUGUUCGGUUAUUAUAAAAAUGAUUGUUAAUUUAUGAAAGGUAAAUAAGAUUGGAUGAUUUGCAAUCCAGUAUUAGACAUUGGAAGUAGUUUAUAUGGAAUCUAUACAGUCUACGUAAGGAAUGAAAUUGGGAAAUUUUUUUGAACAAAUAUGUAAAUAUUUGUGAGGCAGUAAAACGAUAUAUUACAUUUAUUAUUUCAAAAGUAGACAAAAUCUGAACUGCAACUUCAAGAAGGAAAAGAAAAUAUUGUACAUGAAAGAAAUAUGUAUAGACAUCCAUAGCUGAGGUAGCGAAAAGGAUUAAAUAUUUCUGGAUUUUUUAGGAGAAGUUUCAUAAUGGUCAAGCGUAGGGGCCGGACUACUGCAAUCUUGAAUAGAAGGUUCGAAAAUAUUGAUCACUGUCAGAGGAGAAUCGGGAUGAAGUAAAUUGAAAGGUCCAACUCUGAUUUCGAAGUCCUGUUUCUUACCGAUAAUGGAGGAGAGGAUUUCUUGAAUCAAAUUUUCACCAUUACCCUAAAAAAAAAAUAUUCAUCUGUUAUAUUAAAAAUACUUUUUAAAACAAUUCUGAAGUGCUAUUGCAUAGAGAAGAAGAUAUGAGAAAUUCUAAAAUGUAAACCUGAAAACUGAAUCCAAGCAUAUCCUGAAAAGAUUUCUGAAGAAUAUCUGCAGCUUGGGCAUCGAAAGCGGUGAUGUCUUUGACAGUUGUAUCAUCUCGAAUUUGGAAUUGAAUUCUAUAUCUAUAGUAUAGAAUAUCUAUUUAGCAGAUAUAAUAGAACAUGAAAGAAGGUUAUUACAUAAUAUGAUGAGAAUUGUACAAAUACCUGAGUCGAGGUUCAACAACUUUUUCUUGGCAGUUAUAACACCAUGAAUCUUUCGAUAUUCCUUUCGGACAUUUGUUGCAAGAGUUAUAGUAGAAAUUUUGAUCGUCGUAGACAUGAACAAUUGUGGCUUCGCAAAAACAGGUAAAAGGCUGAAGCCAGUAACAGUUAAUAAUAAUAAGAUAUCUAAAAAAAAAAAUGUUUUGUUAUUACAAUAACAGGUAGUUCCAAAACAAAUACCUGUGUAGCCUGCUGAAUCAUGUCCAUAAUAUCAAUUAGUUUUUUAUUAUUUGCUUCAUUAGUUCUUCUUCCAUGAGGUAUAGCAUGACUAAUGAUAAGAAUAAAAUAUAGAUUAACAAAUAAACAAAAAAUAUUUUAGGAUAUGAAGAAUUUAAAAUAUGAACCUAUUCCUCAGAAUUGUUGCUUCCGGAAGAUCCAUGUCAACAUAUAUUUUCGAAGCAAAACUUGCGUGCAAACAAAGCAGGUCUGAAGAAAAUAAUGUAAUAUAUAUUAAGGAAAAUAUAAUAUGUAUGUGAUUGCAAAAUUGGAAGUAACUGUAAACAUACUGUUAUAUUUUCGGACAAUAGUGGAAGUGACAACAACUGUUUGCUGAUUGGAGGACAAUUUAUCAAAUAAGGUCAGCUGAUGAAAAGUAUCUCCCCAGAAAGAUAUUUUUAUUCCAUCACCACUGUAAGAAAAACAAAUUUUAGAAAUCAAAGUUUGUCAUGAGAAGUCCUAUCUGUUCUGUGUUAGUAUUGCUCAUUUGUAUACCUUUCAUUCGUAAGAUAAAGAUCACGUUUUGUAGUAUCCCCUCUUUUGGUAUUGAUAAUAACAGAAUCCUCAAUUUUGUCAAAUAAUCCAAUGACAUCUGCAUGUAAUAUAUAGUAAAAAAUAUAAAAAUUGGAGAAAAGUAAAUUUAAUAUAUUGAAUAUAUAAUAGGAGACUAUGAUAUUUGAAAAGUACCAGUUAAAGGAUCUGUUCGGUCGAUUUUGUAUAUCAUGUUCGGGAAAGUUGUAAAAGUGAAACUGGGCUGAGGAAAUAACACAGAUUCAUUGAUAGAGGUCAAAUUGGAAUUUGUUUUGAACCUGAUUUUGUAAGGAUUGGUCAAAGGACAGAAAGAUCCAUUCUUUUUUUCUACAAUAAAAUUUUCUAAACUGAUAAUAUUGUUUUCUUGAAGAACAUGUUCGAAAGUUGGAAUAUCUUCAGCUAAUACAGACGCAUGUAUUUGAGCACCCUGUUAAAAUCAAUAUCAUUAAAUAAAACAUAUAUAAAAUGGGAACAUAUAUAAAAUGAAAAUAUUGAUACAAAUAACAAACCAUUUCAUCCAUAAAGAUGGAAUCCAAACCAAAGACUUUUUUUGUUCCCAGUUUUGGAACGCUCCACACUCUUUGAACAAAUACUCUAAUUUUACCAGUAGGUUGUCCUGGAUGAAGAAGGUUGAUCAUUGUGUAGUCGGUUUCCAUUUGGCGAUAGUUGAUCAGAGCAGGGAAAUAAAGUUGAAGAUUUUGGAGAAUAAUAUUUGGAAAUGGUAGUAGAGAUAUUUAUAAGGAAUGGGCUGUGGAUAUGUAUGGAAAUCAUUGCUGACUAAGAACCACGUGUUGAAGAUGUAGUAUGUGUUUUUAUUAUGUAUGAAUCUAUAUCAAAUUUAGUGGCAGAUAUAGAAAUAUGAUGAAAAAAGGAAAGUUUCAGAACGAUUGGAACUAAUGAAGAUGAUAAUCUGUCAAAAAUAAUAGCAAUGAAUAAUUCAAAAUCAACGAUUCAUAAGUAUUGUUGGAAAUUGUACACAAUUGUGUUGGGAUUAGGAAGAGAUAACAUUGUUUUAUCGUCACAAGCAGUGGAUUUGUAUCAACAAAAUUAAUAAGAAAUGAAUAUGUACUAAGGAAAAAGUAAUCAGAAGGAGAAGGUAAAUUGGAGCAGAUCAUAAUCAGAGCAAUUGAUUUAAUAAAAAUAAAAUAACAGCUAUGAAGAUUGUAUGUCGAGAAUGUAAAUUAUGUAUGGGUAACAAAAGGGUUGUCCAUAAGUAUUGAGAUAAUAGUGACAUUGGAAAUUUUCUACAAAUAUGGUUGGAUUAGGAGGAGAUAAUAUUGUCCUACCCCUUCCAAAAAUGGGUAUGCAUAUAUUUGCAGAAGAAGGAAUUGUACAAAAGAAGUAAAUGGAUGCAGAUCAUGUCGAGAACUAUGAUAUAGUAAUAUAAGCAAAGAAGACAAAUUUGAGUGUAUAUAAGAAAUUGAAGCUAUAGAUAUUCUAAAUUGAUGAAAGAACAUCUUUGAUAUUUUGGGAAUACUGUAACAGUAUAAUUCAGUGAUAAUAUUUCUGAAUAUGAACAUAUAAUUGUAGUUGUCUAAAAAAAGUGAGGAUAGUAUAUCCCAAAACGUAGAAAUAUAUUUGCAAAAAAGGAUAGGAAAUUGUUGACAUUUACAAAUAUGAUGGUUCAGAUGAAAUUGUAGGUAUACUCUUUCCCAGUAUUUCUUAUACGUAGCUGAUAACUCUGUUGCUCCGUAUUUGGUUUUAUUUAGUCGCAUCCAUAUCUGUUAGUAAAUAUAUAGAUGUCAUUCAGAUAGAAGCAAUAGAAAAAAUAAUGUUACAAUUAAGAAGAAAGUUAUUUUUAAAAAAGCGGAAAUAUAAAUUUGAAAAGAUGUUUCUAAAAAUAUGGAAGCAGUUUUAACAAUUGCGGAUCUGAUGGAAUAUGUUGGAAGAAAACAGUUCUAACAAAUGGAAGAAAACACUUAUAAAUAUGAUGGAAUAUUUUUGAAAUUUGGAUAGAUAUACCUGGAGAAGAGUUUGUUGAAGAAAAAUAUGCGGAAAAUACCGGAAGCUGCGAGAAAACAGAAAAAAUCAGUAAAAUACGUUCCAAAAACCAAUAAUAUUGUAUAACUAUUCUGAGGGAAAAUAAAGGAAUACAUGUAUAGGAAAUAAACAUAACUAUUGGAAUACCUAUAAUAAGACCUCAGGAUACACAAUGUUUGUAGUGCAAUUGGUCGAUGUUGAAGGAAGAAUGAUGAAAAUAUUCGCAGCUGAUGUACAUCUUGAUAAAGCUACAUAUAACUGACCAUGACUAAAAAUGGGAACCUGCAAAUCAAUGCCUACAAAAUGAACCGAUUGUCCUUGUGAUUUAUUGAUAGUCAUAGCGAAAGCCAACCGUACAGGAAAUUGACGUCUUGACAUUGGAAUGGGCAAUUCUGCUGAUGGAGACAGAGUAAUUCUUGGAAUAAAAACGGGCUGAUUUGCUUUUGGUCCAGUUAAAAUUCUUGCCUCAAUAACUUUGGUAGCAAAUUUUUCAACUAUAAGCCUGGUUCCAUUACAAAGACCAUCCUUUGGAGCAAUAUUUCUUAAUAACAUAAUAGGGGAACCAACUUUUAACCUCAGUCUGAAAGGAGGUAAACUCGAAGGGUCCAAAGAAUUUAAUGUGUCAGUUGUAUAAGACAGAAUUUCAUGGGGCAAAUCACCCUCUCGUUCAAUUGCUUUAUCCGCAGCUAAAUAAUCAACAUAAUUUCCAGGGAAUAUUUCCAAAGCCAUACUAUUAAUAUGUUUGACAUCAUCAUUUCGCGGAGCCAAAAUGGUUCGAUCUUGAAGAAACAAAGGAGUGGCAGUUCCUUCAACAUGAAGAUCUGGAUAAACUGCAGAUAACAAAUCAUGUGCAUUGCUACAUUGCUGAAUGCUUUCAGGCAAUAUCAAAUUUUCAUCUGGAAAUGUUCCAACCUUGAUUGAAAACAUCAUAAGAAAACGGAUAUAGUAAUAACAAAUUUAUUAUAGAAAUAUUAUAUUAUGAAAGAAAAAAUUAUUGAUAACUACAUGAGCAUACCUUGGCCAAAAAAGCGGCGAAAACCAAACUCUGAGGAUCAUCCAUAUGCAGACGCAUAUUAUGAAUCAAAUGCAAAAUAUUGACAUGUUUCCAAAGAUAUGAUCUACUAACAGAUGCAUUAACCACCUCUUCUCGAACACCUUUAGGAAUUACAGGUAGAGUUUGACGAAAAUCUCCACCCAAAACAACAGUUAUCCCUCCAAAUGGCUCUGUAUUACCUUGAAUAUCUUGCAAGCUUUUAUCAACAGCUUCAAUACAAUAUCUAUGUUGCGCAGGGAGUUCAUCCCAAAUAAUCAAAUCUGCUUUCUGAAAAAGUUCAGCAUGUAUGGAUUGUUUUGUGAAUCCACAAACACUGUUUUCCAUAAUAUCAAGAGGUAAUUUGAAAGUGGAAUGAGCUGUUCGGCCUCCUGAUAAUAACAAUGAAGCUAUCCCCGAAGACGCUACCAAUAUAGCAAUAUGACCAUUUUCUCUACAUGAAGCUGUGAUUGUAUUAUAAGUAAACGUUUUCCCAGUUCCAGCUGGGCCAUCCAAGAAAAAUAGUUUGCCCUCAUUAUUAUUGACCGAAGCAGUUACAACAUUAUACAUCUCACGUUGUUCAUAGUUCAAAUCAUUAAUUCGUUGAGAUAUUUCUUGGGUCGAAAACAAAAAAUUGAACUGAAUCUGCUCUAAUAUCAAUCGGUUCCCAAAAUCAACAGACCAAUUUGUUAAAGGCAGAAGCAUCGGAGGGAAAUCCAACAAAUUUUUUCCUGAUUCCAAUAAAAGUUUAUUAAGUAAAAACAAACCGUAAUCUUUAAUUUGUUCAUCAGUAGCUACCUCAAUUUGGAAAAUCCUACGAAGCUGAUAUGGAAGAUCAUCACAGAUUUGCAAAGCGAAAUCAUUCCAUAACCGAUCUGGGUGAAGAGGAGAACAUUCAGUCAAAAUAAUAGCAAAUAAUCUUCGAAGCUGGUAACCAGUUCGCAUGAUGGAAGCUUCUUGUAGACAUAUUUCAUAUUCCCCAUCAUCCUGUAGUAUUCCUCGAGCAAUACAUGCAUCUUUAUAUGUAUCAUAUGUUAUAUCUUCAACCUGGUACAAAGAGUCAAAAGAUGAAGCACCAGCAACAACAGAUAACAGUAAUCGAAGGUAAAAACGUUCCCCUUCAUUAGGUUUAGCCAUAAACAUUCGCCCAAUUGCAAAUCCCUGUUGUCUUCGUUCCCAUCUAUUAUUGUCCUUUUCUUUUUUCCACACAAAAUGUUGGGGAAAAUCAGGGUAGACAAAUUUUUCAGCAUCUGGAAAAGUUCUGUAAUAAUUAAAAUAUGCUGUUAAUUUUGAUUUCUGAUUCAAUGCUCUAUUCUGAAUUGUUUCUGCUGUAUCAUUUUUGUUAAAUGAAACUUGGUGCAUUCCAUUCAGAUGGAGUGGAAGUCGUUCAACAUGUGGGCUUUCUUUAUGCAUAGCAUGUUCAAACAAAUGCCAGGCAGCUUCAACAGGGCCAAUAUACCUUGCAAGAAAUAUAAAUAUUAAUAUUCCAUGAAAAAUCAGAAUUUGCAUCAGCAAACCAAACAUAAUAUUGAUGAACUUAGUUCCUUCUUUUCUAUAGGAAUGUACAGCAACAAAACAUAAUAUUGAACAAAAAAGAAUGAAUACCUUGAAUCAAUAUAUUGUUGAAUUUCAUCAGGAGAUCCUUCUAAUACUAAUGUUGUCAUGUCAUAUCCUUUAUAAAUGUAUUUAUGAAUAUAUUUAACAGCUCGAACAGAUGCACAAACCUCAACAUUAAUAUGACAAUCAAACAUUGCUGACAAAUAAGGAUUGUAUGGUACGACAUCUCUAUUGUCAACCUCAUGGCCUCUAACCAUAUACACUUGUCCUGAAUUACUUCGUCGGUAAAUUGGAUAACCAUCUUUAUCCAUAAGUGUUGUGAUGACAAAAUCUUUAGGGAAAUGAGAUUUGCAAACAAAACGGCCAUGGUUCAAUACCAUACAGCAACAGUCAGGAUUUCGAGCACCACAUGGUCCAUGAAUCAUACAUGUACUAACUGUUGCAAAAAAAUCUGGAUUUGUAACUGGAUCUGGGAAUUCUGCACAAACUAUUUUGUCUACUUGAGUCGGAGUUCGGAUCUUAUCUUCUCGGUGCAGAAAUAUCAAGGCAUGCAUGUGCGGUAAACCCCGUUUCUGAAAUUCAAUUGUGUACACAUAUGCUGCAACCUUCCCUAAAACUCCUCUGUCGAUAAUUUCUUUCAUAAUUGCCUUCCUCUUCAAUUCAAAAACACGCGCAACCAAGUCAGGCCUAUCUAAAGCACUUUGGAAAUGUUUUAACUCAUUUCUAAUUUCAGGCCAGUUAGGAUUUGCAGUAGCAGUAAGAAAAAUAUCUGGAUGAUGAUUAUAUCUUGUAAUAGCCAUUGAGUCCUGAUAAAUCUCAUACAUAUUCCGAGGACUACCAGGAUGCGAUGAUGGAAGAAUAAAGCGUUUACCAACCUGGUCAGCAGGCAAACCCAUACCGAUACUAUCUGUGAGGCCCUUAUAACAAUCGGAGCGAAGCUGAUCCUGAUUAUUACGCAAAUAUUGUAAUCGAUUUUGUUCAUAAGCAGCCCAUGCAUCAACCACAAAUUCUUGGAAAAGAGGUCCCCCUCGCAGAAUAGCUGAAUAUUCACUUGAUCUUUCAAACAAACGGUACGCAUAAUAUUCCAACUGAGUCAAACGCUUAGUAGUUGGGCCGUCGUUGCGAACAUCCCACUGCUUCAUAUUAGGAUGCCAACCCAAUUCUCCAUGCGGAAAGAAAAGUACAUAAUGAGAAGGCCAAUAAGCAGGAUGACAUUCGCUAAUACGAUAUAAAGGUCCGUUCCUCAAACGCAUAAUAAUGUCGCGGGUUGUAUGUGAAACAUUUCCAUUAGUAGGUAAAACAACAGCGAUUUCACUAAUUGAUGGGAGAUUGUAACGCCUUGAAUCAGUGCCUGGAGUGUAAUGAAGCGAAACCGGAACCUCAUUAUUCUGGAAUGCAUUCUGAGAAAGAAUUUCAUAGGCGUGUUUAUAUAGUCCACAUAAUUCAUUACUUUCCAAGAGAACAGCAUUUAUAAUGCCCAGCACAUCCGAUCGAAGAUGAGGAUUCCUAUGUUCUCGAUAUUCAAGUGCGGUAUUUGAGUCAUAAAUAUAUAGCUGAGCAUAGCUAGGUUCAAUUCCAGGAUCCGGUAGCAAAGUGCCAAUCCUUUAUAAAAAGUACAAAAUAUAUAAGCAAAUCUAUAUAUAUUAAUAAUAUAGAAAGUCUGAAAAUGGGAAAUAAGAAGGAGUUUAAGACCAACCUGUGGUGUAAUUCUCCAUGAAUAGUAAAUGAUGUAGGGCCAUAUCCAUUAAGAAUACGAUCAUCCAUAGUUACGCCUAAACUUGUCAGCGCAUUACAUGCAUUAUAAGAACGCAUAUUCUUACGAAAAGAUCUUGCCAUUGAAGUUGAUCCUCAUAUAAAGAAUAAAGCGCUGAAGGUAAAGGAGCAAGCAAGGGUAAUCUGAUUUUACCCUGUAGACAACACAUUCCAAAUAAAGACGUGACAGCAGUAGAAUUUGAUAAGCGUUCGUCUCUCCAGUGAAGGGCCAAACAGGAAUCACAAAUCACAUUCAUUCGACCAAGAAAAUGACGACGAGGAGGUACAGGAGAAAUAAAAUCAGAUGGAUCGGGUAUUCUAUGUUCAUCUAUAUAUUCAGGGAAUACAUCUUCAAGCAUAUUGACCAUAUCUGCAUUGAAACUAACAUUACAACGGACAUAAGAAAAAAAAAAAAAAAAAAGGAGGUAUAGAAAAUAUGAAUCACAUACUGCAAAAACAACAUCAUACAACAUAAGUACCUUUGAUCAAUAGUUGGUGAAGAUAGAAGACGCUGUACAUCCAUCGAAGGAAUCCCUAGCAACGUAGACGAAGAUGAGCUUCCCACCUCGUAUGUUUGAUAACAUGUAUUCAUUGGUGGCAAGUUGUCAUUGACAUUAGGAUUCGAGCUGAAUAAAAAGAAUAAAAAUAAAAAAAUAUGAACAACCAAAAUCUCCUUACGAAAAAAAAUAUAUUAAUAAUAACAAUAUUGAAGAAGGUAAAUGAAAAAAUAUACGUACCCACAAGUGAUUGGCACAGAUGCCAAUCUGUUCAUAGCAGCAGAUUUGAUCGGUGAAGAUAUGGGCAAAUCCAUUACUGUUGAUUCCAAACUAUCCAAUCUGGGGAAAUGAAAACUCAAAAAAUGAAAAAUGGAGAUGGCCAAGAACAAUUGGACAUUCCAAAAGGAGCAAAGUCAUUACAAUUCUCAAGAUCAAAACACAGAAAAAUAUAAUGAAAGUCGUAUGUAUACCCGACAACUUUUGGGGCAUGGGGAGAUGACAAUAUUGGACACUGGUUAAGGUAUUGGUAUUUCAAAGCAGUUUGGGAAACCAACUUCUCCCUGGAGCGUCGGGCCUUCUGCGCUGCUGAUCUCGGACUAAGUGACUGAAGCAUUAAACGCUUACUCAUUUGAUUGGAGGCAGGCAAAUCAGGCUGGGAAAAAGCAGCAAAUAUGUAUGGUAAGACAUUGAUGAAGAUAGAAGACGUUGUACAUCCAUCGAAGGAAUCCCUAGCAACGUAGACGAAGAUGAGCUUCCCACCUCAUAUGGUUGAUAACAUGUAUUCAUUGGCAGCAAGUUGUUAUCUGUAUUAGGAUUCGAGCUGAAUAAAAAGAAUAAAAAAAAAAAAAUAUGAACAACCAAAAUCUCGUUACCAAAAAAAAUAUAUAUUAAUAAUAACAAUACUGAAGAAGAUAAAUAAAAAAGUAUACGUACCCACAAAUGAUUGGCGCAGAUGCCAAUGUACAACAAUCAAUUUCAUUGUUCGCAGCAGCAGAUUUGAUCGGUGAAGAUAUGGGCAAAUCCAUUACUGUUGAUUCCAAACUAUCCAAUCUGAGGAAAUGAAAACUCAAAAAUGAAAACUCAAAAAUGAAAAAUGGGGAAAAAAAAAAGGGCGAAAUACAGAAUCCAAAAGGAGCAAAGUCAUUACAAUUCAAAAGAUCAAAACACAGGAAAAAAGAAUGAAAGUCGUAUGUAUACCCGACAAUUUUUGGGGCACGGGGAGAUGACAAUACUGGACACAGGUUAGGAUAUUGGUAUUUUAAAGCAGUUUGGGAAAGCAACUUCUCCCUGGAGCGUCGGGCCUUCUGCGCUGCUGAUCUCGGACUAAGUGACUGAAGUAUUAAACGCUUACUCAUUUGAUUGGAAGCAGACAAAUCAGGCUGGGAAGAAGCAGCAAUUAUAUAUGGUAAAACAAAACAAUUCGAAACAAUGCAAACAAAAAAAAAAAAAAAAUUGUCGAUACCAAACCUCACCCACUACAGAUAUGACGUCCGAGAUAAGCACAUCCUUCAAAGGCAGACCAACCAAGCUGGAGAGGCAGGAAAUCCAAAAUAAGAACAAAACAUAUGUCAACCAGAAAGGGUGCAGAUUCCCUACAACCAAAAGAAAAAAAAAGCAAAAGAUCCCAUUAAAAAAAAAAAAACACCAGAAUAUCCAGUAAUCGGUGGGGCACAUGGUGGCAACGAUGCAGGGACAACCGAUACAGCUCGCAACACCUCUGCAGAAAUAGAAAUGGGUUGGCCUAUUUCAAACCACCCAAUCUGAAGAAAUCCAAGAUCCCAAAUAAGGAAAAACGCGAAAUUUAGGUCGAAAAAACUGCAGGGUCAAUACCCGAAAUACCGAGAACAGAAACGACGGGAAAAGAACUGUAGGUAUAUACUUGACAGUAGAUGGGGUACAGUUGAGUAUUUGGUUGGAAGAAUGCAGACCGAAAGGGACAAAAACAGCCAAUGCAUGAGGACGAACAAAACAGACUGACACAAAGCGUAAGGAGAAAUUUAAAAUAGAGGGCAUCAAACCUUACACUGUACAGAUGCAAUUACAGAAAUAACUAAAUCCUUCAAAUCCGGACCACCCAAUCUGAGAAGGCAAGAAUCCCAAAAUAAAAACAAAGCAAAGGGAUACCAAAUAUGAACAUAGAUAUACCUGCUAGUGGUUGAGCGACAGCUGGAUAAUGUAUGCGGGGCCAAUGUUUGCUGGACUCGUCGGGACCUGAGCAUUGCUGACCCAUGAGAAUGUGGUGAAGGCAUCAUCACACGAUGGGCCAGUUGGUUGGAAGAAUGCAGACCAACCUGGACAUGAACACGGAAUGUAUAUGAUAAAAUAAAAUAGAGCGACACAAACCGUCAAUAUUAAAACAAAUGGAUGACAGCAAACCUGACAUCCUACAGUGACAGGGCCACUGGCAUCGACAUUCCCUGAAAUCGCUCCGCUGGACCUAAAGAGGGAAAAACUCCAGACUAAAUAUAGAAUGGGAAAAAAAAAAUAAAAAAAAACCAGGGAAAAAGCGCCCACCGAACAGGGCAUGGCAAUGCCUCCAAAUCAGAGGCAUUGAUGGUCGACAAGGACAACUCAGCAGCCGACGGCGAAUGAUGGCCAAGAACAAUUGGACGACGAAAUAGAUUAUUUCGAACGGGGCCAAUACUUUGCACGCCUGGAAUACCAGAACCAACCUGGACACAUAAAAAGCUGGUUAUAAAAUAAAAACAAAUCAAUCAUCAGAGCGAGAACGCGUCAGAUAUGCGAACCUGCUUUCGCUGAAUCGGCGAUCGCAUGAUAACAAUCACCAAAAUGGAAACAAAUGGGAAACUCUACCUGGAAUGAAUAAUAACCAAUAUAUGUGGAACAAACCAUCUGAUCAGCUACAAACCAAGGGCAUGACAAAAUGGCCGGUAAACUAUCCCAACAACUGAACAUAUUAAGAAGGAGAAAACAACUAACCUUUAUAGCAAAGAAGAACACCAAAAACCAGGAAAACAGAGCGACAAACUAAACCAAUCAAAGUGAGAAGAGAAAAAAAAAAAUAGAUUAAUAUGAUUUUUCCCACAAAUACUUGUAAACCAGGAAUCACAAAUAGAUAAAGAAAGCAACAAUGAAUAUACCAAUGGAUAUAAAAAUAACCAAAUAUUUGUAAACCAGGAAUUACAAAUAAAAUCUCCUAGGAGAAAAAUAUUUGUAAAAGCCAAAUUACAAACAAACAAAUAUUCAACCAAACCUAUUUAACCAAACCUAAAACAGAAUAUGAUGAGGAAUUUCCAAAAGGGAAGAAGCAAAGCCCGAUGAAGAUACGGAAAGCGGAAGAACGACGAAGGUCGGUUCAGAAAAGAAGUGGGUGGCAUCAAAACAAAGGAGAAAAGAAGAUAGAAACAGAACACCAAAAAAGGCGGUAGUGACCGGAAGAAAAAAUAAACAUCCGGUCUCCGUCUCUCAUAGCCGUUUGAUCGAAUAAUAAAAUAAGUCCGGAUCGCUGGCAAGAUCGGUUGUAAGUUCGGAUCGCUGGCAAGGUCGGUCGUUCUAAUAUUUGAAUAUCUGAAUGAGUGGGACCAUACUGAAAGUUAAAUCCGGACCGUCGAUUCGGAUCGCUCGAUCCUGACCGCUACUUGUCUCUUCUGGGAAAACCUUUUCCAACGUCAGGGGGACCACGCCAAAAGUUAAGUCCGGACCGUAGGAUCGUCAAGCCAUGCCAGCGCAACAGAUCGCGACCCUUAUUUGUCUGUUGGUGGAACCCAGGGCCAGGUACACAAAUGAUCUGGAACAUCGAUUCGUACCGCUCGUUCCUGACCGCUGUUGGUAUUUCCUGGGAACACCUUUUCCAACGUCCGAUGUCUUUCCCAAUCCUCGAGAUGUUCAAAUCUGAAUGAGUGGGACCAUACUGAAAGUUAAAUCCGGACCGUCGAUUCGGAUCGCUCGAUCCUGACCGCUACUUGUCUCUUCUGGGAACACCUUUUCCAACGUGAGGGGGACCACGCCGAAAGUUAAGUCCGGACCGUAGGAUCGUCAGUCCAUGCCAGCGCGACAGAUCGUGACCCUUAUUUGUCUUUCGGUGGAGCCCAGGGCCGGGUACACAAAUGAUCUGGAACGUCGAUUCGUACCGCUCGAUCCUGACCUCUGUUGGUCUUUCCUGGGAACACCUUUUCCAACGUCCGAUGUCUUUCCCAAUCCUCGAGAUGUUCAAUCGUUGUAUUAUAGAUAUAGAUAUAUACAAACAAUUGUUUAUAUUAUAAUUGAGAGAGUAUGGAAAAUUUACAAGUAAAGAAAAGAAUUACAAGUAUUUAUAGGGGAGAAACAGAAAACAACACAACAACAACAAGUGUAGUGAAUUAUCUUCCUUGGGAGACAAUAUUUGAAAUUCUGUUGAGACUUCCCAUACAAUCACUGAUUGAAUGCAAGUUAGUUUUGUUCAAGGACCCUCGAUUCAUUGACUUGCACCUUAGCCAAUCUAUAGCUCGACAUUAUAUGUACUAUUGACCUGGAGUGAGGAUACUAAACCUAUACAUUCAAUCUAUUCUUUUGUUGAAGAAGAAGAAUACAAGUGGAAGGCUUCCCUAUUUGACGUGGAGCUGGGGUUGGGGCUGACACUGACAAAUAAUUUUUCUCAUUUUUACAUUGCUGCUUCUUGCAAUGGCUUGCUCUGCAUGUCUCCGUGUGGUGAUUUCCUGGAUCCACUUUUCAUAUGCAAUUUAUUUACACGAGAAUAUGUGAAGCUGCCAGUUACUACGCAACCAAUCACUGUUAUCCAUUUGAUCACAGGAGAAGAAAUUGUUUUGUCAAAAACAGAUCCCCUUUUUGAUCCAUACUAUCAAGAAAUUGGCUUUGGAUAUGAACAUUGUUUAUAAAUUCAAUUUUUUAUUUGUUUUAUUUCCCAUGCUUGUUAGAGAAUGCAACAAGCUGAAUGGUCAUGUAAGCCAAUAAGGCCGGAAUUGCUGCUGUUGAGAGGGCAAUGUUGGUCUUGCUAUUAACAUAUUUUUUCAGAGAGAGAGAGAGAGAGAUCUAUUAAACAUCAUAAAAGUCGGUGGCCAUGCUUGUGGUGUGUCGCUCAUGUUGAAAAUCCUUUGAUAUUGCUUGGACUCUGAAAAACGUGACCAACAAGUCCAAUAAGAUUGAAACAAGCAGAGUACUUUGAAGUUUGAACGAAGAGGAGAAAGGGAUUGCGAUUCUGCAAAAGGUCUGAAAAUUUCCUCCUAUGAUCAAAGAUUACAUUUACUCUAUUAUUAACCUUUUGUUUCUCAAGAGAUAAAUGUAUAUACCUAUGUAUUCGAGCUCUCUCGAGCUCACUUAAGCGACCACUUUGAACACAAUUUAUACACCUUCGACGUCAAACGAGGUGAACACCUUUUUACUCGACUUCACCUCGAGCUCACUAAAACCUUCAUGAUCCAACUUAGAUUCUUUAUUCAUUCGUCGUCAAACGACGUGAACACCCUUUUGCUCGAGCUCACUCGAGCUGGGGCUUAUCUUGCUCGACCUCACUCCGAGCUCACCCGACGUGGAACUACUUUUAUUCGACCUACAUCGUCCUUAUGCAAACACUAUACAUUUUGAUCCUCUUCAGUUACAAUAUAUUUUCAGAUCCACAAUAUCCGCCCAUUAAUUGACCACACCGUUGGGCAAUUAAUGAGCUAUCCGUUGUCCCAAUCACCUAUAUAUAUGAACUACGUAGGCUUGAUUCUGGGACUUGGUCAUUCUCAGAUACGUAGGCAACUAUCUAAAUCAGAUAGCUCAGCCAUUUCCACAACUUCAUCUCCUUCCCCUUCUAAAUUCCGAUCAUCUUCUCCGACUUGUUCUAAAACCAAAUUCACUUACAUUUACAUUUACAAUAGAUUUCUCUCUGUUGGUGGGUAAGUGGUUUAGGGCUUAGGGUAUUGGGGUUUGGUGUUUAUUCAGUUUGAAUGAUUAUCUAGUUGUUUAUCAAAAGAUUAAUUCAAAAUAUUAUCAAAAACAUGUAUUUGAUCUUAACUACUAGAACCAGUGAAUGGUGUAUACAACAGGAAAUGUAUCAAUUUCAACCCAAGGCGACAAUGUACUUGCAGUAUUUUGAGUGAGUGGGGGUUAAUUAUGUCAGAAUGUAACACAUCAACAAUUUUCUGUUUUUUAUUUCUUAGUUGAAAAUCAAAACAUACCUGUUUUUUUUUUUGCUGAAGAUAGAUUUUUUUUGCAUACAAAUAGGGAUUUUUAUUAAAGAUAUAAAAGAAUGAUACAAUAGCAAAAAGAAAAAAUUACAACCAUGUCCCAAUAAUUACUCAUCAAAGCGAUAGUAAAUACUGUUUGGACACUCUAUAUUCUUGAUAAAAUUAGGCUUCUGUGUAGUCCAUAUAGAAUGACCUACACUCAUUUGAGCUCCCUUUUUUGAUGCUGCAUCUGCUCCUAUAUUAGCCUCCCUAUAUGUGUGGGUGAGCCUCCGUUGAAACUUUGCAGUAGCUCUGAACCAUCUUGCUGCUACCUUCCAUGGAAUCUUGCCAGAGUUGACUGAGUCCACCAAGGCCUUAGAGUCUGCUUCAAACCAAAUCUGUGUCCAUCCCUGUGUGCAAGCUACCUCUGCAGCAGCGACCAGAGCUUGACACUCAGCUUCAAAACUAGUCGUGACACUCAGCGACCAGAGCUUGACCAGAGCUGAAGAUAGAUAUGAAUAUAUUAACUAACCGAUCGUUCCGUAGAUACACUCAUACACCAAGCAUAUCUGCUUGUACAUAACUAGAAAUACAAGUCAGGUGCAAGCCACCAAAGGGAAAUAUUUUCUAAAAGUGUAAUAACCCUAUUAAGUUCUUCAGGGGACAAAGGUCUGUGAUCAGUAUACGUAAGCUGCCAAUGUUCUUGCUCUACAAUGCCUGACACCCAGUUUGCUAAACCAUCAGCUGAUAAAUUCAUCUAAAUUCAACUGUCGUAAAACUUGACAGAAGAUGUUGGAUGUCAUUAAUCACGGGUAACAAAUGGUAAGGAAUAUUACCACCUCCAUGAUUCAAACAUCCAUGCAAAAAAUUUGAAUCUAUUUCCACCUCCAGUUUACUAAAAUUCAGUGCCAACGCAGUUAAAAGACCAAGCUUCAAUAAAAAACUUACCUGAGAAAGCAACGGUGUAUACAUUUUUAGGCGUAAACGAGCUUCUAGGCAUAGGUGAAAAUUUCGAAUAUAUCCAAAUAUCCGACCUUGAAAAAACCGGAAUAUUCCGCGAAUAUCCGGACCCCAAUGUCGGAUAUGGGAGGUUUAACAAAAAUGGUUCUCACGAAAUAUUUCGCGAAUAUUCGUGAAAAAUUCGAAAAAUUAGGAGGUUUUCUGCUAUUGUCAUGUUUUUCUUCUGGUUUCAAUGUAUAAGCUUAUAAUUAAAAGAAAGACAUACAUUGCAAAUUAAACACGCGACAAAUCAUACAAAGAAGCUAAGACGGAACUAUUACACAAGAUAGUUUUACUCAUAGGUGAAAAAAUCGUAAAUAUCGGGCGGAUAUUCACGGAACUUUUAUUUGUUUCUAAUAUAAGAACUAAACACAAACCAUUGUUCAAAAUCUCGAAUUCCUCGAAAUCUCGACAAGUUUAAAACUCGAGAUCUCGUUUGAGAUCUCGUGUGUCUUUGUUGAGAUGAACAAGUUUUAUAAGCAUAUUUCGACACAUAUUUAUAUCUAAUCAAUUUUUCUAAAUUUAAUUUUUAAUAGAUUUCUUCUUGAUUUAAAAAAAUUAUGGGCAAUAACCCAAAUUCAACCAAUUUUUAACUUAAUAAGUCAAUUUUAACAAGAUCUAUAAGUUGAAUUUUACGAAUUUCACAAUUUCAAAUUCAAAUUUUCGUUUCGAUAAUAUUUACGAUUGAUAGCAAUCCAUUAAUUUAACUCCCAAAAAAAAAUUAAAAAAAUUUAUUAUUUUUAAAAAAAAUAUUAUAUAUCUCAAGCAUCUCAACACUAAAAAUAUGAUUUCUCGCGAGAUCUCAUAAUUUCUCGCGAGAUCUCGAAGAUAUCGACAAAGUUGGUAUAGAUAUCAUACCGUUUGAGAUCUCACAAAUAUCUCGUACCGAACACUCCCAUUUCCGAGAUAUCUCGUGAGAUCUCACGAGAUUUUAAACAAUGACACAAACAACCUCAUAACAACUCAACCCAUAGUUUUAUUUUAAUAAUCAAAAUACAAGACAUGCUAACCCCAUAUUGAUAGACGCCCCAAGUCAAACCGAUGAGCUUCGAAUCGCAUACGUGUGGGGACGAACUCAGUACAGUAAUAUUUCCAUGACAUUGUUUGCUCGUACGACCUGAAUUGGUCAAUUGCUCGUACUACUAUGCACAAUUGAACCCCAUUCCAGUAGAAAAUUUCCAAACGUCUAGUGCCUUCUGGAUUGAGAGGUAGACAACCAGUGCUAAUUUGUUUGUUUAGUUUUAACAAAUCCAAGGUUUCAUUAACAAGAAAUAUUCAUAUUGCUAAUCUUUGGACCUUUUUUUGAUAACCUCAUCGAAAGUUCUAGUUUGGUGGGAAUUAAAAAUAAAUGUGUUAAUUUCAGAAUCGUAAAUUUCGUAUUUUGCCGAAUAUUUCGCGAAUAUUCGUAAAAAUCCGAGCGGCAUGGGGAGGUUUAUAUUUCGUUUAUUAUUCGUAUGCCGUACCGCUCCGAAUUCCCAAAAACCGGAAUAUUUCGUGAAUAUCCGCCCGACAUUUUCGAUUUUUUCACCUAUGCUUCUAGUAAAGAAUAGUAAAUCUGCAAGGUAAUUACAUGGGAAAAGCAAUCACUUUGACAACGCGUAUUUCACUCUAGCAUCAAUGAAGAUAUUGGGGACUAUGAAUGCAUAUACUGCAUAUAGAUUCCUCUCAAAUGUACAAAUUAAGACCUUGAAGAUUCUUUCAAGUUGCUUGCAACGAACCAACUUUUAGGUUUUGAGAGAGAGAAGUAGAAAAAGAACAAACAAUGGGAAAAUGUCAAAGAUGCAUCAUGCAUAGAAUAGACUAGCAUUCAAGGCCCGGGCUUUAGGCUAGUAUCUGAAAUGUACUGCACUUACUCAAUUGCCAACAAUGAAUAUAUCUGCCCUUGGAAGUUUGCUGUGACUACAAAAUAUUGAAUGUUCUACUCAUGAGCUCAAACUUUUGUUGUGUAACCCCUUAAUUAUUUUAUUCAAACUUGCAUCUGACAUGGUUUGCUGAAUUUAAAAGUAAAUGAUAGUCUGAAAUUAACAGUAGAAUAAGGUCUACAACUAUUGUUCACAGUUUCACACAUACUGAAGGCACUAUAGAGUGGUCCAGGCAACAAUGUCUUCACCAAAGAUUUGACUGCCAGGUAGUUUGGAGAAUGCAAACAUUGGUCUUGAGCAAAUUUCCCACCUCGCCUCUCCUAAUGGCAAUACCAUGCAAUGUAGGCAGACUGCGUUCUCAAAGCCUGGCGUGGACUAUACACAGUCCUUUCUAUUUUUUUUUAAUAACACAAAGUCCUAAAUUCAACAAAAAUAAUGUCUGUUGCUGAAGGCAUUUGAGUAAGGAGAUCACCUUUUGAUCUCCUUACUAAACUUGCAUUUGUACUAACUAUUCAAGCUAUCAAGCCUGGGCCAAGCUAGUAUGAGAAAUUGAAAAUAAUGUUUAAAUUUUAGUUCGAAUUCUUCAAGGGAAAAAAAUCAGAUAACAAUUGAUAUUUUUCUUUCAUACUAAAUAAAUAAAUAAAAUAGCAAAAUUUCAAAAUAAAAAAUAAGAUCAUAACCAGCAAAAUGUUAAGCACAAAGAAUUUUUUUUUUUAUAAUAAGAACAAAGAGAUUUCAACAAUUCAUACAACUUUUAUUAACCACAAAUAUGGCCCAAAUGGGUAUGUACAAUUUUGAUAUUGAACAUGAGGCUAUAAUGGCUUCUGUAAGAAAUACAUUAGAACAUCAUCACCAAGCUCCAAAAAACCACCGUAUGUUGUAGACUUGUCUCUAUGCUAAACAUGGUGUCUUGGCUUCCAACUGGAUGUUAUCACACAUUUCAGAAGUGCAAACCUCUACUGCCUUAAUUGCCCUCGUAACAAUGAGCAUGACCUGCCCCACACAAAUUGCCGCAUCUGACAUCAAAUUUCAAGGGACUUCCAAAAGUUUCCUUUUUUGCUGUUGAACUUGAUAGCGUGUAGAACCCUAAACUAAGGUUGCAAUUGCUUUCUUUAUCUGAAGUUGAUUAACAACAUACAUAACCUGUCCCACACAAUGAAAUGCAAGAAUGAGCUAAUACCACUAAUCCAAUCCAAGUACCCAAGGAGUUUGAAAAACCAACAAACAAACUUUAUAAAGAUCAAACAAACGACAAAAUAUAGAUAAAUCUAACCUGCAGCAAGCUUUGGAUGAAUCUUCCUCUGGACUUGUUGGCAAAUUGAGUCAUUAUCCGUGGAAGAGGAAAAAGGAAGAGACAGUAGAGAAGAAUGUGAGAAAGUUUAUUUACGUUAGUUGAAUGUGGAAGCUGAGAAGAAUGUGAAACACUUCCCUUGAAAUCCAUACCUGUCAUAGAGUCGAUCCUUCGUACUCUUUACUUUCAUCCCUUGCUCAUGCUGAUGUACCUUACAGGAUAUGUUGAACUGAAUCCUGUCGUGCACCCUGUUGAAAUUUUACUAUGAACUUAGUACAUCUUGUUUUGAAAAUACCAAACUCAAUACCUUCCUUCAGCUCACUGCACUUCUCUAUAUUUAUUGAGACUGUUUUACUGAUUUGUUGACAUCAAAAGCUCUUCCAUUAAACGUAAAUUUGCUCCUAAUUGUCCAUAGAAACCGGAUUGUAGAAUAAGGUAGAAUACACCACAUCUUAUGUUCAAGUUACCUGUUAAAAACAACAAACAUACAGCAAGUAAAACCUAAUCCUCCAAAAGCUUGACAUAAUAUAAAUCAAUUGGUUUUCUCAACAACUUAUCUGCAUGCAAGGUAAAUAGAGUGACGCUAUUUAUUCACAAUAGCACAAUCUAACUUGUAUAAACUUGCACAAUUUUUUUUGCUUAAAAAAAC
rnacentral:lncRNA from 1 species